AUAUUUGUUAAUUUUGAAGCUAAACUUUCUAAUAUUAAGAUGACAUUUUAAACAUUUUUUGUGUAUGAUUUGGUAACUUUUAAAAGAUUAUUUUGCCAAAACAAAGUUGUAAUUUCUUUUAAGAUGUGAAAGUAAGAAAGAUUAUUCAAUUUAUUAUCAAAGGAUACAGUUGUUGCUUAUUUUAUUUCACGCAAUUGGCAAUUUUAUUCCAUUUUAGAAAAUAUUUGGGACAGUGGCAAAGACUUUUCAAAGCUAAUUUAGAUUUGAACUAUGAAAUUCUUAAAUUAUUAAUGCACUUUAAACAUGUAAUUACUAAGUUAAUUAUCACUUUUGACGAAAUAAUUAGUCUUGUUAAAUGUUAAUUUAUAUAAUCAGGAACAAGAUAUUACCAUAAUUAUAAUCGUUUUAUGUUUCUACCAAAAUAAUCACUAAUCUGAAAACAUUAUGCUUAACUUAUACAAGAACAAUAUUAUAAAGCUAAACAACAAAAAUAAAUUAAAAUUUAAAAAAAAAAGGUAAAAUAAAAGUAAUUGCUCUCAGAUAUGGGCCAAAGAUUUUCCACAUGUGAAAUUUAAUAAGAAUUUAACUAGACCCUAAAUAGAUUUCAAGCUGAAGAAAUAAAUAAAUCCCACUCAAUUUCAAUUUUCUUUGAAAAAAAAACUCUCAGCUUUACACCAAAAAUAAAUUGGAUAAAAGAUUCAUAAAGCCUUUUUUUCAUAAAAAAAAAUAAAAAAAUUGAGUAAACAUUCUUCAGCUAAAAAUCCAAAAAGGUCUAAUUUAAAUCCUUAACAAACUUCUUAAUUUCAGUGUGGUUAAAGCAAAUAAAUCAUCAUUGAGCAAAAAUAAUUAAUUAAAAUUUAGGCAUCAAAAAAAAAAUUGUUGAACUUACGAGAAAACGCAUAAAUUCAUGAGAAAAAAAUAUUGAAAUUAGCGUGUCCAUAAGUACAAAAAAAAAUGAAAUUGAUUUUGCAUCUUUUCGGAUUUUCUCUGUUGUUAAUUGAUCGAAAUAGAGAAAAUCAUAGCAGAUGCUAUAAAUAAAUAAAACAAAAUUUCAAAUAAAAAGGGGGAAAAAUUAAGAAAAUUGAAGAGUAAUGAAGCAGAUCUAAAAUGAAAUUGAAUAUUUUGUUAGUAUAUCUGAAUAUUUAUAGGAUACAUAGCUAGGGUUUUGUGAAUGGCUUUAGGAUUUGGGCUUGUUGCUGUCAUUUCGGCCCAUUAUGGUUAAUUAGGAUUUACAUGGAUUAUAUACAUAUAUUUGGAAAAAAUACAUAAAGUAGCAUACUUAAGUAUUAAACUACAAAAAAUAACAAUACUUUUAUCAAAUUACAUUUUUUAGCAUAUGUAUUUGUAUGUAUUUUUAUCUUUGUAGCAACAAUUUGCAAAAAUACAAAAUACAUAUCGAUCAUAAGAGUAGUAAAAAUCAUAUGUAUUUGUAUUUUUAUAGCAACAGUUUGCAAAAAUACAAAAUAUAACUUGUUAUAUUAUUUAAUUAUGAAACUCAUAAUUAAGGGGAUAAGUAUGUUAUUUCUGAAUUUUACCCAUAUCUUAUUAAUCUCUUAAAUUAUGGUAGUUAAACAAUACUUAUCCACAUUUAAGACUCGCUUGGUCAUAAAUUACUCAAGUAGUUUUUGAAAAAAAAAAAUUGACAAAUAGUGUGUAGUAUACAAUUUGCCCCAAAUAAUUCAAAUAUCUAAAUACUAGAAAAUACUAAUAUUUGUGUCAAAUUUUAAUGUUUGUGAAUUUUUAAAAGUAAAAUAUAUUUUUUUAAAUACUAUGACCAAACAUAUGUGAAAUUUCACUCAAAUCUGUACCCAAAAGUGACUUGCCAAAAUAUUUGGAAUCUGUGACCAUAUGCUAGCUUAGAAUUUAUUUCGUAACAAGCAAUUUCAUAUUAGUAGUUAAAAAUAAAAAUGAAAUAUAUACUAAUUUCAUCAUUAUAUAUUAAUUGGCAUAAUGAUUUAGGAUGUAACAUACGUAUAAUGAAAAUAGACACGGAUGUAACCUAAGUUCAAUCGAUUCAACUGAAUUAGUAUUCUCGACACCAAACAUACAUGUGUCAUGUGUGUAAGUACGGGUAAAAUUACUAAAGUAUCUAUAAAUAUUGAUUUUAGCCCAUAUGGUUUCUGAAGUACAACGAGUUCAGUGCUAAGAAUUAAAAAUCUUAAAAGUAGAGUUUGUCAAAUUCAAGUCUAGAGUCUGACCUCCUGAACAACUACCUUUUGAACCAUCAUGCACAACUUUGUUGCCAUCUUUAGUGGAACGGAUGGAGCCUAUGUUUAAUCGAUUCAACUGAAUUAGUAAUCUCAACAUGCAACAAAGGUAGAAAAUAAUUUAACUUUCAAUAAGCUUUAAAAGUAUAAUAAGUUUAGUACUAAGAACCUUCAAGGUAGAGUUUUUUAAAUUUUGAAUCUGACUCUGAUCUCCAGAACGAUCAUCUUUAGUAGUUGCAGUAAAUUCGUUCCGAUGACUGCCCCUGACAUCCUGAAUCACCACCUUUUGAACCAUCAUGCACAACUUUGCCUACAUCUCCUUCGACGGAUGGAACCUACAUACAUUUAAUCGAUUUAACUGAAUUAGUAUUCUCAACACCAAACAAAGAUGUAUAAACGUAUGUAUGCUAGAAAUUUACUUAAACUUCAAUAAUCUUUAAAAGUAUAAUAAGUUAAGUACUAAGAACCUUAAACUUAAGGAGGGAUUGUUAUUAUUUCUUUAUUUCUAUCAUCAAAGUAUUGGCAUAAUAUGAUGAAAACACUUUUUAUUAAAGUAGUAAGUAUUGAUUCAAGCAAAAUUUUGAUUGACAAAUCCAUUUAUUAACUUUGCGAGUUCUUAUGAAGACUUGAACGUGUUUUUUAUAACAAGUUUCAUGGGAAUUAUUUUCUAUAAAAGUUUGAGUAAAUUAUACCUUCUGCAAAACAUAAUUAUCUUAGAGUUAUUUACUUUGAUAGUCUCAUAGGAAAUUUCUCUACAGUUUCAUCAAGAAAAUGACAUUUGAUAAAAUUAGUAAUUUUAAUUUAUGGUGAAAUUUUCAUCGGUUAUUCUUUUUGAGACUGUGCUAGAUAUUGUUGUCAUAUCAUUAAGUUGACCUUAUUUUCUAGUGAAUUGUCUAAAUAACACUCAAUCCUAAUUACUGUUGAAAAUAUAUUUAAGUAAUAAAAGUGUGCUCUCUCUAACAGCUUUAACUUUUAAAUGAGAUGGUCAUAAACUUCAACAUGGUAUCAGAGCAUGCAUUUCUUUUAGCCUUGAAAAACACUAUUGGUUUUAUAAAAAGCCAAAACUACGAAAAAACGACCAUAAUGGUCUCAUAUCUUUGGUAGUAGAUUUAAAAUAGUCCUUUAAAGUAUAAAUUGAACAGUUUCGAUCUCUUAAGUUGUUCAUUACCUCAUAUUACGGACCUUUGACUCAAGUAAAGAAAAAAUAGGAACGGAUAGCCAUUUAAAAUAUAUAUAAUGGAGAAAGAGAAGUAACAGCAACCAAUAAUACGAUAAUCAAAACAAAGUAAACAAAAAUAAUAUUAAAAUCAAAACAUAAUAUAACAUAAGUUCUAUAUCAUCCCCCACCACCCCCAAUUGUCUUUUUUCGUACUAUAAUUACUUAGCAUGGCUAGGGCCACCACCAACGCCACCAGUUACAUCAACUCUGCCAUCACCAUCACCACCAUUAUUGGCACGGAUACCACCAUGCACGGACACGGACUCCAACAAAAUCGCCUUUUUGCAAAUACCACAUUUAACAUCAUCGCAAGAGCAACUUGAUGAUGAGUAAACACUAGUCGUAGCAGUAGUAGUAUUUACCUUACCACUUAUACCAUCACGAACAACUAUACGAACAUCUUUUGCACCACCACUUAUCGUAUUCUGCAUGUUGUUCUGAAUACUACGAUAGACAUUGACACUAACAAAAGCCGGUGACGCAACAACAGGACGAUCGCCACGUGUUAUUUCUCUAGGUCUAAGACCAUCAGUACAAAAUUCUAUGAUCAAAGUAAUUACAAAGGCAAAAAUGAGUAAUAUGAUGCUUAACACAACAAAAUCAUCCAUAUUUUUCUAGCUAAUUAAGUUAGUUAUGAAUUUCUUGUAAAGAAAUGAGCCUUCUUUUUAUACUAAUUAAGUUGCAUAACAGAAUUUUUAUUAGUUAAUUUUGUAUGAAACGUAAUUACCAUAUUUGGUUACUUUAAUUCUUGUAAGAAACUUCUAUGUAAUUUCAUCAAGAAAAUAAUAUUUUUGGUAAAAAUAGCCUCAUGACAAUUUAUGUAACUUAAAAAUAUUUAGGAACAUAUUUAGUAUUGGUGUCAUGAAAUUAAAUUGCUUGCAAUGAUUCCUCAACUUACAAGUAAUUGUUGUCUUUUUUUGUUUUCCAAAAUUUCAUUUAGACAUUUGAAUUCGGUUUUGUUUCAAUUAAAUGCAAUACUAUGGUACAUAUGUCUGAUGUGAAAUAUGACGAUAAUAUUACAAUUAUCUGAAGGCUUUUUUUUAAUGCUAGAUUAUUAUAUUGUUCUUUUGUUCUUCUUGGUGUAUUACGUUCCUACAUCAAAAAUAUAAUCAUCUUUUUCAAAUGUGUUCUCUUUCUCGGUAAUUUUGUUUUGUGCAAACUCCAAACUUUCAGCUACUACUGUAAAUUUUUGAAUGUGUCGUGGAACUUUGAGGAGCGAUCGGACUAGUGAUUUGUGCUAUUGUCAGCCCGAAAUCAUUUUCAAGGCUCUGAUAAUCAUGCGGGUAAAUACGUACACCUCAUGAUCACAUGAUAUCUACUUUACCGGUUACGUCGGGAUUUUUUUAACUUGUUUCACUCCAAAUCACACACAACGAAAAAAGAUAACUCUAAUUUGUAUUUCUGAUCAAACACAACUCUAAUUUUCAGAUACUAUUUUUCACUUUAAACGCAAAAAAUACUUAGAGGAAUAAUUUCAAAUCUACUAUGGGACCUUAUCAUUGUGCCAAAAUUCUUUACUUCAAUAAUAAUAGUGAUGUACGAGUUAAGCUAUUUUAUUAGUUACUUAUUAUUUCACCAUUAUAUAUAUUGAAUAUAAUUCUUUCCAUUGAGGGAAGAAUGUUCAUCAGAGCAAAGAAAAAGAAAAUCAUAUAGUAAUUAGAAUUUAGUUCACAAACUAAUAUCAUUCAUAUUUCAUACAUUACAUGAUCAUAUGAAGUUUAAGAAGAUACAUUAUCUCCCCCUCUUUUGACAAAACAACAAUAAUAACAACAACUUCAAUGUAAUCUCGCAUGAAUGGAAUCGAGAGCAACUGAUGUGUACUCAACUGUAUCUCUAUCUUGCGAAGGUAGAGAGAAGAGAAGUAACGACAAUUAAUAGUAAUAUUUUAUAGAAUCGAAGAAUAGUAAAUACAUCAUUUUCUCCCCCUCCCCCGGGGCUUUUUUCUAGCUUACUACAACUCAUUUAGCAUGGCUAGGACCACCAUCACCACCAUCACCACCACCAUUGACACGGAUACCACAGUCCACAGACAUGGACUCCAACAAAAUCGCCUUUUUGCAUACACCACAUUUAGUAGUAGAAUUUACCUUACCACUUAUGCCAUCAAUAACUAUAGUAACAUCUUUUGCACCACCAACACCGCCAACUCGAGCAGUGGUGGCAGCCUGGAGGUUGUCACGCCUGCCAUCAAAGACGUUAACAAAAACAGGCGUUGAAUUCGCAACAUCAGGAGGGGUAUCUUCAUCAGCUCCAGUACAAAAUUCUAUGAUAAAUGUAACAACACAGAGAAAAAAUGGUGAUAUAAGUAACAUGAUGACAAACAAAUCAAAUAUGUCCAUAUUUUCUAGCUAAGUUAUGAACUUAGCCUACUCUUUAUACUAAUUUAUAAGUAGUACAAAACAGAAUUUCCAUUAGUUAAUUUGAUACAAAAAGCAAUUGCCAUAUUUCCUUUGAUUCUUGUAGGAAACUUAGGCUUAAUUUCAUUAACAUUUGGUAAAAAAUAGCUUCAUGACAAUUUUAUGUUAGUUAUUAAAAGUCAUUAGCAACAACAUAUUUGGUAUUGGUGAUUGUGUAAAAAACAUUGUCAUGAUGAAAUGUUUGCAAAGAUUCCUCUAACUUACAAGUAACUGUUUUUCUAGUCGGAAAUCUCAUUUAGACACUUGAACUUAGUCGUUCCAAUUAAAGGGGGUUCAGGGUUCGAGAUCCAGGGUUUCAAGAUUUCAGGAUUCAGGGGUUCAAGAUUCGGGGUGAAUGUGUUUCUUGAUGUUACUUGGAUGAAACUUGGGAUAGAAAAAUCAAGAAAUAUUAUGCAAUUUGCAAGUAUUGUUCAAGAAAAAAACAACAAAAUCUAGAGACUAUAGGCCUCUCAUAGAAAAUCACAUAAGAAACUGGCGUUCCAAUGAUCAUAAUAAGGAAACCAAUAGAACAAAUAUAAAGAAUUUGUAAAUAGGUUCAAUAUUUCACCCUACACUGCAAAAGAAACAAGGUUCUCUCAUGGAUUUGUACAAAAUUAUGUGGCUUCUGAAGAUCAGUAACCUACUUUCUUUUUUUUCCGAAAAGGUAGUGGGACUCCACGAUAACUAACUAGUCUCAUUUCUUGAAACGAAAAAUGUGCAGGUUGUUGAAUCUCGUGCGAUGGGGGCACCAGAAGAUUACCAUGCUACAAAAGAACCACGGUCAAUCCUAGAAUUCCGAGAAUCAUCAUCAGUGUGGUCGAGAAGGCGUUGUUGUUUAGAUAUUGGACGGGAUAGGCUGAUGAUGAACUCGUGGAAUCAACAGCUGGAGCCGUGCCAUUUAGGAAAGUUCCAUUUCUGCUGAUACUGCACCACCAACAUUCGACAAAUAGGUUAGUUGUAUACUCAAAAUGGAGCGAUUCAGUGAGAAAUAAUGCUGACAACCACCGGUUCAUAACUAAUACAUAUAUGGUAGGAACAUUACCUUGAAAAAACACAAGAACCAUGACCUGCGAUAUGCAAAACAUAAGAAUCAUCAGUCUACGAGUUUUCACUCUUUUAGGUUUGACACGUCAAAUACUGCAGGGGAGGGAGGAAACAGAAAUGGUGUAAUUUUGGCUAGAUCGACGAAAUGCUUACUUGGAUUAGUCGUAGUGAUCGUAGCCACCCCAUUGAAGUCACAAGUCCCGGGAGCCCUCCCCAUCAUGUGAUAGUAAGCAUUAAAAGCAUAGGUAGCAUGUGCAGCCACGUUAUCUGGCUCAUAACACGGUUCCCCCUGCAACAUUGGUGCACAAUCUACCUUACCAGCUCCGCAAGCCCAAUCUAAAGCAGCCUGUAGCAUUUUAGAAUCUGCCCCUUCUUUUGCAGCGCAGUAAGUCUGGUUUGAAGUAUUGUUUGCAAAAAGAGAUCCUGAAUCAGUCAACCGUAGAAUAUAAACUGGUGUUCCGUUGUUAUUAAAUAAUCCCCAAUUCUUCUCUGACAAAGGCCCCGCCUUAUUGUCUUCGUUGUAUAGCUCGUAGAGGUAAGUACUAACAGCAAUACCGGGAUGCUUGGGAGUUCCGGUUUUGUUUAGCACAUGCUUUAUCAGAUUGCUGUUGUAAGUGUUGGCAUUCUCUACUGUAGCAUCGGGUUCAUUCGAGUCGCCCAUUGAUGGCCAGCCUGAUUCAGUCACCACAACAGGAAUAUUGGUGAUAUUGACAUCCUCCAUUGCAAAGUAAGCAGCGUCGAUCAUUGCAUCAAAGACGUUAGUAUAAUGCAAAAGUGUGUUGGAGUCCACUGCUUCUUUAUUUGCAGCUAGAGGAUUGAAGAGAGCAUAAUCUAGUGGAAUAACGCCAUUGGAUAGUAUGUAGUCGUAAUAGGGAUAGACGUUUAGCAUGAAAUAAGAAUUAGUGGAUUGCAGGAAUUUGAGCAGUGGUACUAAUACUGGUUUCAAGGUGUGAUUGAAGAAGGCCUGCGAUGGGGGGAACGAGUCGAGGAUGAUGGUAGAAGCUAGAGGUGUUGAAACUUUUAUUUGCCUGUCCAGGUUCGAUGCCAAAAGGGCUGAAUGAACAAACUUAAGGGCGUUGACAAGGAUCGGUGCAGCAUUUGGAAGGGAUGAUAGAACCUCGGAACCAACACAUAUGGUCGUGAUGUUGGUCGCUGGAUAAUGUGCGACGACAUUUUGGGCAACCCAAUUAGCAGCAGUGGUAUUUGAUUGACCAACACCAAGGAUCUGUUCAUUGGGCACAGAAACAGCAACUUUGAUACCUGUAUUUGCAAGCGCAAGAAGCAUACCACGAUCAGCAUUAAAGAGCCGUACAUGACGGAUUUGCUGUGCUUUAAGAAGUGCAACCACUUGAGUUGGGUGUGGCAUGUCCGAUAGCUCCGUUCCAAUGUUUACUCCAAUAAAGACAUCUGCAUGGAAGAUGAAAUAUUGUUCUCCCGUCAUACAUCCAAGUACACGCCAAGAAGUUAACUCUUUAUUUCCGCAUAAUAGUUUGAUAACAUCUACAUAAUGAUUAAGCUGAAUAGCCACGACUAAGUUCUAUUCCCUCCUCCAACUCUCAACCAAAAAACAACAUAUCGUUUACAGCCAUGGCGGUGCAGUAGUUUAUUGUCAGAAAGCAGGUUCAUAGACAAAAAAACAGCGUAUGGUUGGUACAAUAAAUUGCAGUGUCUUGUCAGAAACAAACAAAGAAUGCGCUUACAAAAAGCAUGGGCAUAAACUUCAUAGAAAAGAGUUAGUGGACGUAUAAGGCAUAAACAAAACAACUUAUCUACUUAUGCAUCAUUUUUUAUAUUUUCUUAUAAUAAAGGUGAUCAGACUACUUAUCUACUUAUGCAUCAUUUUUUAUAUUUUCUUAUAAUAAAGGUGAUCAGACUAACUUGUGCACACCUCGACUAUUCCUUCAUGUGUGGCUACCUCCCAUUAGCACGGUCACCCAAUAACUGUUCGCCAAAGUAGGUAACUUAGAAGAAAUCACCUAGAGUUUUCGUCUUGGCUAGGAUCUCAACCCGAGUCUCCAUGGUUUUUAUGCAUUUUAUUAUAACAAAGGUGAUCAUACUAACUUGUGCACACCUCGACUAUUCCUUCGUGUACCGGCUACCUCCCAUUAGCACGGACACCCAAUAACUGAUCGCCAAAGUAGGUAAAUUAGAAGAAAUCACCUAGAGUUUUCGUCUCGGCUAGGAUCUCAACCCGAGUCUCCAUGGCUCUAAUGCAUUUUAUUAUAACAAAGGUGAUCAUACUAACUUGUGCACACUUCGACUAUUUCUUCGUGUACCGGCUACCUCUCAUUAGCACGGACACCCAAUAACUGAUCGCCAAAGUAGGUAAAUUGGAAGAAAUCACCUAGAGUUUUUGUCUCGGCUAGGAUUUCAACCCGAGUCUCCAUGGUUUCAACGCAUUUUAUUGACAUCUAGACCACACCUUAGAUACAUCAAUUAUUGAGGGGUAGAAGCACAAUAUUCCACAUCAGAAUCAUAACCAAGAGAAAAUAACUUUAGAAUAGAAAGCUGGGACCAUGUACUUGGCCAAAUUGCUGGUAAUUUGGGAGCAUGCCAAUGUGUCCUAGCUUUAAAAAGCACAUGAAAUUAGUUGUGUACAUCAUGUUCUUUCUGAUCUUUUUUCCAUCUGAGAUGUUUGUUCUUUGUCUCGUGCAUGAUUAUAAAUCUCGAAAAUCUUAGUUCUUCGAUUUGUCUGGUUCCCUAAAGCCCAUAUUCUCUUCUUUACUUGAGAAAAUGCAACACAAAAUGCCACCCGGAGUCUGGCCGGUGCUAUAUUGGGGCCUGACGAAAUCCGGAUUCAUACCGGGGGGUAAAGCGAUUCCUAACAAAGGCGACUCCACAUCCAAGACUUGAACCAAAAACUAUAUGAUUAAGCAUAACGGAGUACUGACGACUCUACCACAACCUUGUAAAAGUUUCGCUUUUUUUCCCUUUAUAACGGUAGUCGACGCACAAACUUGCUAUCUACCACCAGCACAAGUACCGAAUAACUCUGCUUGUUACUGAACAUCUUCCAUAUUUUUCAACCACCUCAUCGACCACUAGACGACUCUACAACAACCCUUGUAAAAGUUUCUCUUUUUUUCCCUAUAUAACGGUGGUCGAUGCACAAACUUGCUAUCUACCACCAGCACAAGUACCGAAUAACUCCGCUUGUUACUGAACAUCUCCCAUAUUUUUCACCCAUCUCAUCGACCACUAGACGACUCCACCACCACCCCUGUAAAAGUUUCUAUUUUUUUUCCCCUUUAUAACGGUGGUCGACCCACAAACUUGCUAUCUACCACCAGCACAAGUACUGAAUAACUCUGCUUGUCAAAAAACAUCUCCCAUAUUUUUCACCCACCUCAUCGACCACUAGACCAACGAUACAACCGAGUAAAAAAGUUGUACAUUCAACUCUAUACUUUGUACACAAUUUUGUGGUUUAGGCCAAAAAUAUCCCUCCACCAAAAAGAUUAUACCAAGUCAUUCACAUUAAUAGCCAAGCAACUAAACAACAGACAAAAAAGACAAAAGGAAUAGAAAAGUUAGAAACUUUACUCUUUGAACUUCUUCCUUCUUACCAUUUCUUCUUAGGAACACCAAUUCAUACACCAUCACUUACAUAUCUAACAUUUAAAAACUCCAUAAAACCAAAUUAAAAAAAAAGACUAAAUCUCACCUAACCCUCAUUUAAUGAAAGGAAUUAACAAAAUCUUGAAGUUUAAGAAAGGUUCAAACUUCACACAUGCACAAUAAAGAACAAUUUGUUUUUCACUUACCAUAUUAAAAUAAAGACAUUAUAGCAACUAAACAAACCAUAAUCUACCAAAAUAACACUUUCCAAAUCAAGAACUUAUAAAACUAGUACUAAACAUAUAUCACCUUCAUCAGUAAAAACUGCUAAAACAGUAAGAACAUAGUAAAAUAAAGACAUUAAAACCAACUAAAACAGACAAUAAUCAACCAAAAUAACACCUUGAAACAGCACUUUCCAAAUCAAGAACUUACAAAACUACUAAAAAAUAGCUCACUUCAUCAGCAAAAACUUCUAAAAACAGCAAGAACAUACUAAAAUAAAGACAUCAAACCAACUAAAACAAACCAUAACUACAUUUUGAACGGCACUUUCCAAAUCAAGAACUUACAAAACUACUAAAAACUAGCUCACUUUCAUCACCAAAAACUGCUAAAAAUAGCAAGAAGAUACUAAAAUAAAGACAUCAAACCAACCAAAACAAACCAUAACUACACUUUGAGCAACACUAUCCAAAUCAAGAACUUGUAAAACUACUAAAGAAGCUCACCUUCAUCAGCAAAAACUGCAGAAACAGCUAAAAACAGCAAGAAAAGCAAGGAUUUAUUAGUUUCCAUCAAACCCCACUUGAGAAAAACGAAGAAACUAAUGAGAAACAAAGAAGAAAGAUGCUAUGUUUGAGCAAAGAGAAAGUGUAUAGUAGAAAGAAGAGAAUAUUGGAAAUGAAAAAAAAGAAUCUCAGAAGAGAAAAAAAGAAGAGUGGGUCAAGAGUGAGGUGAAAAGGUAUUUAAUAGUACUAAGUAGAAAGAGAUGAAGAGAAGUAUUUAGAAGAACAAGAACAAGAUAGUAUCAAGCACAUGGAUGUCUUGUCAGCGUUGAUCCUAUGGUCAAGAAUCCAUUACUAUUGUUAGAUUUGGUGACGAUAAUUUUAUUGAUUCGGUUCUAAAAAGUUUGUGGUGUGAUCUAUGUUUGUAAUUUUUUUAUGGGUUAAUGGUGAUAGCGGAGUGAUUGAGCUGGUCGUGUAUGUUGUUAGGCCUACAAUUUAUUUGUACGUACGUAUUAUAUAAGUGCAUUUAGUGGGUUGUUUUUAAAUUUUUUUACACGUAAUUGAGAUUACCAUCUCCACCUUGUAUUCCUCUCCUUCAUAAUGAAUUUCCUCUGGCUAUGUUCGUGAUUUUUUUCGUCAAAGAUUUCUUCGUAAAUCUUUGUGUUCAUAACAACUAUAGCUUUUUUUAUUUUAUUUUUUUGGGGGGAGGGAGGUUCAACUAUGUCAGAGUUGAUCCUACGGUCAACAUCCGAUGCGUUCUCGAUUAAUUUAGAGUUGAUCCUACGGUCAAGAUCCGAUGCGUUCUCGAUUAAUUUAGAUUCACAUGUAAAAUUUAUGUUGAAGAGUUUCACGUCGAAUAAGAAAAGAAUGAUCUCGUUGAAGAGUCUCGUCGAGUGUUGGAUUUUAUGGUGGGAUGUUAUAAAGAUCAGAGGCGGAUUUAGUAUUUCUGCUGAGGGGAUUCAAAAUCUGAAGAAAAAAUCAUCGGAGGGUGUUCAACAUCUACAAUAUGUACAUAAAAAUUAUUUUAACUAUGUAUUAAUGAGUAUAAUUUUUCAUUGAAGGAGGCUCAAAUAAAUCUCGUAUUACUAGGAUAGUUUCACCUCUAAUAAAGAGUCACACGUCGAAUGAAAAAGGAUUGACUGAUCUCAUUAUAUCGAUUUGGACAAUUCACCGAGCUAUGAUUUUUGAGGUUGAGUUAGAUUCUAAAAUUUAGACGACCUAUAAUAGAUUCUUGUGAAUUUACUCCUUAUCUGAAUUCAACAUAUAACGAAAGUUUUGAUACACACAGCAAAUAUCGUUUUCGUAUCCAAAAUUAAAACACGAAAUUUUUAUUUAAAAAUAGAGGUAUCCUAUUUAUCUCGCAAUGAUUAAGUGGAAAUCCAACAUAUAAUCACUUUAUAUUACUGUUAAUUUAUUUUGUUUAUUUUUCACUCUGCUGAAAAUCUUUAAUUAGAGUUAGAUUGAUUCAUUAAUGAAUGUUGUAGUACUAUUGAUAAUUUAAUUAGUGUACAAAACAAUUAGUACUUGAAGAUUCAAUUUUUAUUAUUAUGUCAGAAUAUAGAAAACAAAAUUUGGUAACAAGUUACUAUUAAGACAUGUGAACAUAGGGAAUUAUUGCUCGUGUGAUCUAAUAAUCAAUGAUAAAACAAUAGAAAAAUUAAAAUGUUUUUUAAUACAAGCAAAGCUCAAAAAUAAUAACAUAACAUUCUACUCACUAAUUUCUGAUUAAAUUAUUUAUAUAUUUUAAGUGAUUUUUAAUAUAUUGCGGUAUUUAAUUUAAUCGCAUAACAUAUGUAUAUACCAAAUCAUGUAUAUUUACUGUAAUUAAGUAAUUUAGUGAAGUUAAAAUGUAUAUUAAUCAAAGAUUAUAUGUUAAAAGUUUAUUUAUGUACAAUUACAAACAUAUUUGAUGCAUUAUUAUCUUGAUAUAAUCAUAAGUGCAAGUAAGUUUUAUGUUUAUCGAAUUUCGCCAAAUUUGUAAUUUGUAAAUAAUAGACCCACCUUAAUUAUAUCAAAUCAACGAUAACACACGAAAUUCGAUAUAAUUUUACAGGUAGAAUCAUUCUUAUAUAUCAGUUCACAAAUACGUAUCACCUAAAUCACAAAACUAACCACGUUAACUAUACAUAACAUACCUAUUAAUUUGAUCUACAAUUUGAUAUAACAAUUCGAUGUUGUUCAUAUAUUUUUCUCCUACGUUCUUAAAAUUACAUUUUAAUCAGUUUCAAGUUAUCGUAAAGGUGUCGUCAUCAAGUCGUGGAAACAAUCUCUUGCAAAAAUAUAAGAUGAGGUUGUAUAUAAUAUAGAUCUUUGUGGUUCGACCUUUUCCCAAACUAUUGGCAAAUCGUGGAAACAGCCUCUUGCAGAAAUAUAAGAUGAGACUGCGUAUAAUAAACCUUUUGUGGCCCAAUCUUUUUCCAAAUUUCAUGUACAAUGAAAGUUUUAAUACACCAAACUACUUCUUUAUUCAGUUCAAUUUCACCUCAAUUCAUUUAUAUAAUUUCACCUUAAUUCAUUUACAUAUUAUACCAACAAUAAUAAUAUGCUCAGUAAUUUAGAGGCAGAUCUAGGAUUUGGAGUCUCCGGGUGUCAAGUAGACUCAUUGAUUUAAUUACGAUCCAACUUAUGGACAAGAGGUUCAUUGAAUCUCCUUCGACGAAAAACAAUGUUAUUUAUACAUAAUUAAAAAAAAUUAUGUUUAUAUAAUAAAUACUGGACUCAAAAAAACAAGAAAUUUUCAGAGUUACACUGUAGUGAUCGAUUAAACUUACUAAAAAGAUAGGUUGUCAGCAAAUUUCGAAUCUGGGCCUGUUGGGUGAAAUUAACAGCCUUGUGCCACCUAAACAUCAUGUCACCUUGGUUGUUUGGGUGACAAGUUUGUUAUUUAUAUACUACAUUAUAUAUAGAGAGAGAGUUUCGUCGAAAUUUGCGGGUGUCAUGGCACUCCAAGAACUCUUAAUAGAUCCGCCUUGCUCAAUAUAAUCGAAAAUAAAAUUAUAAUUUUUCAUUUCACAAUGCAAAUUGCAAAGUAGUCCUAGUAAGAAGAAAAAAUAUGUGCAUAGAAGAAAACAAAAGUACUUUUCUAGGUAGCCGUUACAAGAAUAGCUAAUAGUAAUAAAUUUAUCAUGUUUUUGUAUGUUUGUUUGUUUGUGUUUAUCAAUGCUAUUUUUUGACAUGUAAAUGUUUUAGUACAUCAGACUUCUGCAACAGACAGUGCAAAGUAAAAAAAUAGUAAUAAGAAAAUAACUUUUGGUACUUUGUGGAAAAAAUAAAUUAAAAUUUAUUACAGCUGGUUCCCAACGGUCUUAUAUUUUUUAAUCUUUUAAAACCACUACAUAUGUAACUGCAAAAUGAAAAAAAAAAAAAAAAUGUUUUCUCAUAGGCUGCAACUUCUUCGAGGUGUAGGAGGUUUUUUUUUUCAUGGAAUAUAUGUUAUUUUGAUUUAUUAAAAAAUAAAUUUAAAAUUUGAAGUUUAUGAGUGACGAAUCUGAAGGAGUUAAGAGUAAUAUUUUUAAAGAAGAAGGUGUAAGGCGAGAUAUUUUACCUGAUAUAGGUGAGACGUCGGGGUGUAAGCUUCACGAAUCCUUUAAUUUUAAAUAUUUUAUAAAUUAAUAUAAUUAGAAAAAAAAAAUUGCAACUAAAACAGCUUCACCGAAAAAAAGAUAUUCUAACCAAAGACACAUAAUACAACUAAUAGAUAAAUUGAAUUUUCAUGUGAUAAACUAUUACAUGUCCUUAAAAACAUAAGUUUGUACAACAAAAUACAUAAUUAAUCAAUCCGCACCUCCUAUAACUUGAUCAAUAUAUUUACACACCCAUAUACCAUAUAUUGAAUUUUAAAAGAGAGCAAAAGAGUAAAUAACUUAAAAGCUCAUCACUAUGCAACUUAAAAAGAAUUACAAGAAUAGAAAGAAGCUCGGAAGAAUAAAGUACGUCCAGUAGCGUCGUCGUCGACACCCAUCGAUAAAUAUGUUUGAAAGUAUAAAUUUUAAGUUUUCUUUUACUUCUGAUUUGAGUAUUUAAGUAUUUACCAAUGAUAUAUUUUAGUAUUAAGCUUAAAUUAGAGAUUUAAAAAGAAAAAAAUAUUUUACUUUAUAAACUUUUUAGGCUUACUUUUCAUUUGCUCCUCACGCUUAAAGGAAUGCCCCAAUAGUUAGGCAAACGUCUCAAAUUUUGAGUCGUUCGCCUUUCGAUGUUUUUGCCUUCCCAUAAUAUCACGAGGCAUUUUUCGGUAAGCCUCACGCCGAGGCUCACCUCAAGGCGAGCUCCAGACGCCUUUUAAAACAUUGGUUAAGAGUUUGGAGUUCGAAUUUUUAUUAAAAGGGUUAAGAAUAUGACGAAGUAAAUACCUAAAGAAAUCAAGGAGAUUCAAUCUAUUAUAUAUAAAAAAUAAUAAUUUUAACCUUAUAAUAUAUUGUGUAGUUUUUCGUAGAAUGAGGUUCGAAUGAUCCCCUUGUUUUUACAUGACUCACCCUGGCUUGGGUUAUUUGGAUCUGUUCUGAACAGGGCGGACCCAUAAUUUAAAGGUUGUGGGUGUUUGAGAGGUUCAAACACAUAUAUUAACAUCCAAAUCUUUAAGGUUCCGAUUGAAAAUCAAAGCUCCAAGCUAUCUUAUUGAUUUCAUGAGUGUUUUUUUUUUUCAUCUUAUACCAAUUUUUAUGUACUUCUUAUAGAUUAUAUGUAUUUUGCAUCGGGUUUAAUGUAUGUCGUUGCACCACAUUUUGAACCUAGGUCCACCCCUGAUUCCUGGAGCAGUCGACUUAACCUAAACUGAUUAAGGAUGAAGAGAUCUCAACCAUUAACCUAAAAUUGAUUAAGGAUGAAGAGAUCUCAAUCAUCUCACAUGAACUUAUUAGUAUUCGUACAAGUUACUUUUGGGGGGUAGGCAAACGAUAUUAUAUUAGAAUAUACGCAACCAAAGUUUACAGAGAAGUACUUAGUGGCGGAGCCACUGUACAGGCGAUGGUAGCAAUAGUUACAUUCCUAUUCUUACUAUUAUACAAACUAUUACACAAAGCCCCUGCAUUUGUCUUAUUCCUAAUCCAAAUAGUAGCUGGUCCUCCAGCUAUAUCAACAUGCAAAAUAUCCUUUAUAGAUGGGGGAGGGUCCCAGAGCAACAGAGGUCCUACAGCAGCAGCAGUAGUAGUAGUAUGUACAUUGAGGAUUACCCAGAGCCCUGAGCAGGUACCUGUAAUCAGAUAUUAUAAAUGAGUUUACAUUAGGCGAUUCUUGUAGCAGAUUAACUACUUGCUGACAGUCCAAAUUUAUUUCCAAGGAGCCAAACUGAUAUUCAAGUGCAAUUGAUAAUCCUAGUUGUAGAGCAUGGAAUUCAACCUCUAAAGAGUCUGAAACGGAGAUUUGUUUGGUAAAUCCGAGAAGCCAGGCUCCAUUACAGUUUCUAUAGACUCCCGCUAUCGUGGCAUAAUCAGUUCCAGGCCUAAAUAUCGCAUCCGUAUUAACCAUGAUGAAUUCAGGUGCUGGCAGAUUUCAUUUAACAUACAUAAGAGCAACCUGCUUAACAAGCUUUGUCUUUCCCGCCAAGAACCAAAACUCGGUUGCAAGGGAAAGGACCCGUGCCAGGGUAAUCUGAAAUUGCAAACCUUCAAAGGUGCAUUUAUUACGGCCUAACCAGAUUGACCAUAAACAAUAACUGAGGAUAACUUUUGUAGGAAUCAUGAUGAGUGGUUGUUGAAGCUUAACUACGAAGAGCCUAUGAAGCUAACCUUGGGGGUGCGGGUCCGUGAGGGUCGACAUGAUGCUAUCAAUUUGAGUGGAAAUGCGUAGCUCCAAUCAAAGUGGCUUGACAGACCUGCAAUUUAAAAAAAGAUGGGCGACCGUUUCAGACGAAGAGUGACAGAAGGCAUAGAGGAAAGGGAACACAGUUGGUGUAAUGGAGGUAGGAUGCGGUAGGGAGACGAUUAUGAUAUGUAAGCCACAAAAAGUGCCUACUCUCUGACGGAAUGAUUAACUUCCAGAUCCACAAAAAUUCAAUGGCACGUUUGUCUGCUGGCACAUCUUAGAUAGUUAAAGCAUUGUAGCAGGAUGUAACAAUAAAGACUUUGCUUUGAGUAAGUCCCCAGAUAAUUUUGUCUGCACAGGUGUCAUCAUAACAUAGAAAGUAGAUUGAAUUGAUGCAGGAAAUUAUGGCCUGGGGAAGGUCAAAAGAAAGGUCAGAAAAGGAUCAACGGUUAUCAACUCUGUAAGAGUUUUUUUUUCUUUUUUGUGAAGGUUCCCAUAUGGGGAGUUUAUUUUAUGUUAGAUCAAAAGGAGUACAAAGAGGUGGAUAUAUCCUUAAACCUCAAGAAUUACAAAGCUCGAGUGUAGAACACUCAUACAAUUUGAUCGAAGCAUAAAAUAAACUAGGAGGGUCUUUCCUUUAAUAACUAAGCUCGCAAAAAGAGAGGCUAAAAAGCGCCCUUAGUAGCAAACUAAGUACUCAGCCUGGAUCAAAGAUGAAAGAGCCUUUCUUGACUCGAAUUCUAAAUUUCAGAGAGCCUUUAAUGCCAUUCUUCAAAGUAGAUAUAAUUUGACUGGGUAAGUUUGUCGCCUCAUUAAAGAAGAUGUUUCUUUUAGUACUCUCUGCCAAAUUUGCGAGAAGAUCAGCUGUUGUGUUUCCUUUACGAAGAGUGUGCAUGAAUUGAAAUUGACCUUGAGAUCUCAUAGUCGAGAUUUGCCAGAGUUCAUUCCUUAGUUGCCAGGAGCUCUUGAGUUUUUCAGUGAUCAUCUGGAUGAUAGGUAGUGAAUCGAAUUCGACAGUGAUUUUGCGAUACCCAUUGUCUAAACACCAUUUCAUUCCAAUAAUAAUAGCCUUAAUUUCUACUAAGUUAUUGGAGCAUGAACCAAAGUAGGCAGUGAAUGACAUGAUCAACUUUCCAAGAUGAUUCCUUAGUAGGCCAUCUCUCCCUGCACUACCCGGGUUGCCCUUGCUGCAUCCAUCCACAUUCAGCUUAAUUUCUCCAAGCACAAGUUUGAUCCAUUUGACUAGUUUGAUAUCUAGCUUAGGCUUGAUGCUGUCAAUCAAAAAAAUAAUGUUAGGCAUAGGAGAGUUAAUGAUAGGUAGUGAAUCGGAUUCGAUUCAUGCCGCUGAAGGGGUCCUUGGAUGAGGCUGCGAACAGAGCUAUUAGGUUCAAAUAAAAAUUUAUGUAUUUACCAUUAGAAGGUUGCCAUUGGAGCCUUAAUUGACAUUGGACCCAACCUAUCCUGAGGGCCUUCCAAAUUUUGGAGUUGGCGCCUUUGCGCCCUAAGUACUUGGAUCGAAGAACCUGAGCCCAAAGGGCUUUGGAUUAAAAGACACACCAAACAGAGGAAGCUAAGAGAGCUAAGUUCUUAUGAGCGAGCCCUUGUAUAUCUAGGUUGCCACUGUCUUUGGAUUUCGUGACAUCUUUCCACUUUAGAAGAUGAGUCUUGAUUUGGGUUGCUUGUCUUGAAUCUUAAUCAAAAUUUCUACUCAAAAAUUCUACUGUAUUAGUUUGUUAAAUUUUAAAUUAGACAAUGUCUUGAAAUAAAGUAAAAGUAAGAGAAUAAUUUUCUUUCCGUUAAUAUGCCCUCCAAAAAAGUAGUAAUUUGAAGUGCUCAUUAUAUUAUAUUUUAUAUUUGAUAUUAUAGUUUUUUCUCUAUAUAUAUCUCCCAAAUGGGAUAAAUAACUACAUUUUUCUUUUUGGCAACUGGGAUAAAUAACUACAUAGAUAUUAUUAUCAACUUUAGUUUAAACUCUUCCAAAAAUUACGACUAACUUUUAUAUUUGAAAAAUUAACUUUAUAUUCUUAUUUUACUUAAUAAAAAACUUUUAUAGUCAUAAGAAUAUUAUAUUUCACGUUCCACAUGUCAAAGUUGUGAAGUCAAUUAAAUUGAUAUUCACAUGGAUUAAUAUCAAUCAAAUGGAUGAUUUAUGAGCAUGAAAUGAUUUUUUUUUUUUUUUUUUUUUUUAAAAUCGACAUUCACAAGGAGUAACACUUAUACACUAUUAAAUCAUGUCAGUGUGGUUUUAUAUCCAAUUAAGUCAUACCAAUAAUCAAUUUAAUUAUAGAUCAGAGCAAAAUAUUUGUUGAAUUAUUGUACUUAACUUUUUUUAAAAACGAUCAAAAAUUACUUUUAUAUAUGAAAUAAUUCUAUGUGGUUUGUUAAAAUACCUGAAAGCCAAUUUAUCUGUUUUUAUUUUGAGCCGAGAGCUAACUGGUAAUAAUUUUCUCUAUAAGGAUAAUGUCAUCGUAAGUCCUAUCCCGAGACUUUACUUAUGAAAUUAUACUGAAUAUGUUAUUAUUUUUAUUUGAAAUGAUUCUAUGAAGUUUGCUAAAACACAUGAAAGUCAACUUAGCAGAGAAAAUAAAAUUCUCGGAUAAACUAUAUUGUAAACAAUCACUGACAAAAAAUAUAGUAUAUAUUUUUUUCAAGACAAAUAUCUAAAACUAUUCCAAAAAAAUCGAAACAUGUUCUGAGAAAGAUUUUAGUUUCAAUCACGAGAUUAAAAAUAAUCAAGAGAGAUAUUAUUAUUAUUAUUAUUAUUAUUAUUAUUAUUAUUAUUAUUAUUAUUAUUAUUAUUAUUAUUAUUUCAUUUUUACUUUUACAAGAACAAAAAAACUCUAACUUCCUAGCUAGGCCAAGUAUAAGUCAAGUCGUCGAUGAAAUUUCCAUUGUUAUCAUAGUAUCCCAAGUAAAAACCAUCUGAUCUGACCGUCCAUACACACUUGGUUGUCCCUUCCACAUCUGGUCCAUCAUGGAUACAAUUUCUUGGAUCGUUAAACACGUCAAAAGUACUCUCCUUUGUACCCCACCAGAAAUGACAAAAAUAUAAAGUACGAUUGAAAAAAUCCUCGCAAAAUGACCAAGUGAAGUCCUUUUUAGUACUGGAUAGAAACUGAUCGCCAAGAUCAUUAUCUUUAGAAGCACAAUGAACUUUCAGCUGAGGCGAAUCGGGAGGAAGAUCGUCAAUGACUUGUACAUGAAAUUGCUUAUUUAUAAAACAAUUAGCUGAUAUAAAAUUGUCAAGGGGAAAAAUAAAUAACAACAUGAAUAAGAUAAUCAUGAUAUACCUACAAUGACUCAUUUUGAGAAAAUAUGAUUUAGGAUCUUAAAAGGUGAGGCAAUUUAUACAACUUUUUCUUUCACAUCUUAGUAAAAAAAUUUAUGUAUUUUUUCUAAAUUUAGAUUAGUGUUUGACCAUAAAUAUUUGGAUCACAUAUUAAAAGUUUUACUUCAUAUAUUUGUUUGACCACAUAUUUUGAAUCUGAUUUUAAAAUUUUAUCUUCAAAAUAAUUUCAAGUUUAAACUAAUUUUAGAAAAAAAAAUAUUUUUUACCCGCAAGACUUCAAAUUUUGUAUAAAUUUGAAAAGUAACUCCAUAUAUUUGUUUGACUACAUAUUUUGAAUUUGAUUUUAAAUAAUAUGUCUUCAAUUUUUCUUUCAAGGUUAAGUCAUUUUUAAAAGAAAUUUAAUUUACACCAGCAAGACUUUUAAAUUUUAAAUCAAAAUUUAAUAAUUUAACUUCAUAUAUUUGUCUGACCACAUAUCUUGAAUUAAAAUUUUAAAUCUAUCUUUAAAAAAAUCAAACUUAAAACAAUUUUUUGGAGAUAUUUAAUUUCCGUCCUCAAGAUUUAGAAUUUUGAAUUAACUCUUAAAAAUUUAACUUUGCAUAUUUGUUUGACUACAUAUUUUGAAUCAAUUUUUAAAAACAUGUCUUUAAAAUAUUGCAAGUUGAUAUGUUUUUGAGGGUAAAAAAAUCAUUUUCACCCACUAAACUUCAAAUUUCAGUCAAAGGAAUUUUCAACUAAUUUUGAUUUUGGUUUUCGAAAGUUUAGACUUAUUGGUAUUUAUUGUAUUCUAGUCGUAUUCUUGCAGUUUUUGCUUUUAAUAACUAUCAAUAAUGUGUUUAGAUUUUACCAAGAGUGGUUUGAGAUGUGGCGGAGCCAUCUUUUUUCCAGGGAUUUCAUCUGAAUCACCUUCGACGUAAAAUGAUAUUAUUUUAUACUACUUUUUUUAUAUGAUUAUAUAGUAGGUGUUGAACCCCUUCAACUAAUUCGUAUGUUUACUUCUGGCCCCUCUUAAUGAAAAUUUUAGUUCCGUCACUGUUCAUUAACGUACACUUACACUUGCAUUUUGUUCAUCUUUUGAUAAGUUUUCAACUAUCAUACAAAAUUCAACUUACCAAUAUUUAAAGUUCUAACACAUGUUAUCAAGUAUUAACCAUUAUUUUAAAGUUAUUAUUCCCACAGUUUUAACUUGGUUCAAAAAUUUUAAAAAUAAAGAAAAUUUUCAAUUUUGUGGUCUUGAAUUAAAAUUAUGUCAAAUGCAUCAAAUUCUUUUAAAAUUUUGUGAUUUUAAAUAUGUGAUAUGAAAAAUUAGAAUUAAGUAGUUGCUAAAAAGGAAAUAAGUCAUUCUUUUUUAAACGAACGAAAAAGUACUUAGUUACUUUUUCAAGAAAAGACAUAUUUUCUCCCUUGAAUUUGUCCGCUCAACUUACUUUAUCACUUAAAUUUAAUUUUCGUUUAUUUACUCCACUUAAUAUCUUUAAAAUGUAUUAGUUUCACCCCUUAAUAUAUAUUAUCACUCUCAUAAUGGAGAGUGUGUUACACUCGCCACACAUUAACGCCACCUCAUUGCCACGUAAAAAUUUAUAAUUUUUUUUAAAAAAGUAAUUUAACACACAUACUAUUUUUAUGUACUUUUUUUUUUAAAGUAAUAUAUAUAUAUAUAUCCCCUUUUCUUGUUAACACAAAAAUACCCCUUUUUUCAGCCCCUAUCAGUUGCAACCCCACCCUUACAAACAGGUUUGUUAUUUUUUUUUUCUUAUUUUUGGUUCAAAUUUUGAAUUUAAAAAAGUAAUUCAAAAAUUAUCUUAUUAACAAAAAAAUUCAAAAGUAGAAAUUAAAAGAAAUUUCAUUUAUGAUAAGUGAUUCAAAGACAACUCAUCAAUUUAAUUUAAUUUUUGUCCAAAUUUUCAGGGAGUUGGAUUAAAGUUUGAGAUGGUGUUCAAUGAGAUUUUUUAUUUUUUUUUUAAUUUAGAGUAUUUGUGGUUGUUCUUUGAUGGUGUUAAUGGUAAAAAAUGAAAAAUUUUUGAAGGAAAGUGUUGAUGGAGAAUGAAUUUGAGGUUGUUAAUGGAGGAAUUUGAAUGUUGUUGAUAAUUUGGAGAAAAAAGAAUAAAAGGUGUCUAUUUUUAAUUUUUUUAAAAGAAAUUCUAUUAUAUUUUAAAGGGAAAAGGCUCAAAUAUGCCACUGAACUAUCAGAAAUGGCUCAUUUAUGCAAUCCGUUAAAAUUUGGGCUCAUUCAUGCCAUCACCGUAAUAAAACUGGUCCAUCCAUGCCAUUACUUUUAACAGCCGAUUUUUAGAAAACAGUUUUACCACGUGGCAGCAUAUUAGAGGUCCACAUCAUUUUUUAAUUUUAUUUUUAUUUUUUUAUAUUUGUAAAUUUUUUUUUAUCCAUUAAAAAGAACCCACCCAACUUUUUGAUCUAUUAAAAAUUAGUUUGAUCUAUGAUGAUUAGUUAAUAGAAGAGUCAAAAUUUUUAUUAAAAGAUUUUAAAAUCACAUAAAAAUAUAUAUGAAAAAAUCAAUGAACAUAUAUAUAUAUAUAUAUAUAGAUAGAUAGAUAGAUAUAUAUAAUAUACAUUAAUUUAUUUUAUACUCCCACAUAAAUAUAUACUCUCAUGUUAUCUAACUUAUCAAAAAUAUAUGGGAUUUACUUUUGUUUUUAUAUAUGUCAACUGGCCUUAGACUUUAUUAUACAAAUUCCAUGUCAUCUUCAUUUUUUUCUUUCUUCUUAGAUGUUUUAUUUCAUUAAAGAGAAAAGAACAAUAAAAUUUUGGAAUUAAUCAAUUCAUUGAAUUAAGUAUAUAAUGAAAUGAUAAAGACUAUACAUACAUAAUACUUGUACCACUUAAAAUUAAUUAUAUAAGGAUAUAAAACUAUGACGUCUCACCAAUUUUUAUGUAACUAUAUCAUUAAAUCAAAUUGUAAUUUAAGAAAAACAUAAUUGUAAUUUAGACAAAUAUUCUACCUCCAAUGAUUAAUGUUGAUUGUCAAAUAAUUAUCUUAAUAUAUGAUUGUGUCAAAACAUUAAACGACAUAUUAAAAAAGAUGAAAGGGAGUAGUAUAAUGAGUGUUUGAGAGAACAAUGUCCCACGUGAAAAGUAAAAAUAAAAUAAAAUAAUUCAUAAAAUGUCGGAUAUUUAAGGUCUCUUGAAAAAAAUGUCAAUUUGGUUCAAAGCGAAUGAUAUCAUACAAUAUUAAAAGUAUUUUAUGGUAAUUAAUUAGCACAAUAAUUGAUAUCAACGCCACUGUACUGAAAAUUUUGCAGGAUGGGUAUGAGGAUGAUAGAGUAACGGCAUGAGACGUAUUGUCUUAUUGUCUUUGCUUGUCUAUGGAUCAAUUUACUAUAUUUGACCACAAUUUUAAGCCGCAUACAACAAAAAAAAAAGUCGAUGAGCUUGGUAACUAUAAAUACUCGGAUGAUAUGAGGCGAUACACAAAUAAUCUCAAAAUUAACUCAUUAACAGUGAUUAAUCAAGUAAAACUUAGUUCAAAGGGAGAUGAUCAUAUUAUUGAUCCAUAUUGUGAACAGAGUCACACGUGAAAGCCAUAAAAGGAAAAAAAAAAACUAUUGAUAUGGGGGCAAUAUACAAAUAAUCUCAAAUUUUAAAAGCAUAGAUCAAACUAAUUUUUAAUGGAUCAAAAAGUUGGGUGGAUUCUUUUUAAUGCAUCAAAAAAAUUAUUUUUUUUAAAAUUAAUUUUAAAAAAUAAAAUAAAAAUGACGUGGACCUCUAAUAUGUCGCCACGUGGCAAAGCUGUUUUCUAAAAAACGGCUGUUAAAAGUAAUGGCAUGGAUGAGCUAGUUUUGCAACGGUGAUGGCAUGAAUGAGCCCAACUUUUAACGAAUAACAUAAACGAGUCAUUUUUUAUAAUUCAGUGGCAUAUUUGAGUCUUUUCCCUAUUUUAAAUAUAAUAUUAGUGAUUUUUUUUUUUUACAAAUAUACACAUUUUUUUUCUUUAAACGAAUAUUUAAAAGAAAUUAAAUAGACAAAGAACGAGUUUUUACGCGCCCAACAACACUUGUUUACACACGGGCAGUUAAAGGCGGUAAAUAAAUGAAAGUUAAUUUUAAGUGCUAAAAUAAGUUGAGCAGACAAGUUCAGAGGGGAAAACAUGUCUUUUCUCUAAUUUUUUUAUAAGGGAGAUCCGAUGUAUUAAAACUUUCGUUAUGUGCGGAUUCAAAGAUGUUUAGUCACUUUUUUGAUUACUCGUGUGCACUAUUGAUUUAAGAAACAACAAAUAACAUGAGCAAUUUAUCAUAUCGCCCUUUAAAUCUAAUAAAUUUAAUCUUUUGAAACAUACAUUGAAUAAAAAAAAAUCUAGAAGAAACUAUAUUUUAAACAAUCAGUUGCAAAGAACUAUAUAUAUAUAUAUAUUAUUUUACUUUUAUAACAGGAGAAACGUCCAACUUCCAAGUUAGUCCACUUAUAUGUCAACUGAUCAAUAAAAGUUUCAUUGUGAUUCUCGUAGUAUCCCAAGUAAAAAUCAUCUGACCUGACCAUCCACAUACAUUUAGUAGUACCAUAGUUAUUUAUUCAAUGACGGAUACAAUUUCUUGGCGUGUUAAACACGUUAAAAACAUUCUCCUUUGAGCCCCAUCAAAAAUGACAAAAAUAUAAAGUAUGAUUGUAAAAAUCCUCGCAAAAUGACCAAGUGAACUCUUGAUUACGAGACAGAAAAUGAUACCCAAUGUCGUCAUCUUUAGAAGCACAAUGAACUUUCAAUUGAUGCGAAUCAAUAGGAAAAUCGUCAAUGAUUUGUACAUGAAACUACUUAACUAUAUUUGUUCUUGCACUAUUGACUUGACACAUACAUUAAGAAACAAUAAAUAAUGAGAGCAAUUUUAUCAUAUCACCCUUUAAAUCUAAUAAAUUUAAUCUUUUAAAAAGUACAUUGAACAAUGAACAAUAAUAUUUAAUAGUCAAUUUUAGUGCAAAAAAUAAAUUACUAGAAGAAACUACAUUUUAAACAAUCACUUGCAAAGGAUUAUAUUUUUCUUCUAAGUCAAAAAUCUAAAGCUAUUCCAAAAAAUCAAAACAUGCACUAAAAUAUAUUUUAAUUUCGAUCACAAGAUUAAAAACAAGCAAGAGGGACUAUAAACACGUAAAAUUUAUUAGGUCAAAUUCAUAUAAAAUUUGGAUUUGAUUCAUAUUUUAUUGGGUCUAAAAUUAGUUUGGGCUAUAAAUCCGUUUUAUUCUUCAUCAAGGUUCAUCUCUCCUUGAGGCCCAAACUCAUGCCACGUGUCAAAUGACGUGGCAUCCCAGUCAAAUUAAAGACCAAUGAGGCAAGGCCACACGAUCAAAGGCAAUCCAAGUCAAAUUCAAGAGCCAAUGAAACAUCGCCAAAUGUCCCAAAUAACAUGUUUUUGGCCAAUCAUAAGCAACCUUGUCACAUAACAUUUGUGAUAAGCUUGAAAAUUGAAUGGACCAAUCAAAAUGAGGUAGAAGAGGUUAUUUACACUUGGACUGCCUACCUCCUACAACUAUAAAUUGAAGGGUUACAUAAUUUUAUGGGGUCAUUCUGCAAGCAUUGGAGGAAGCUUCUGCAUUGACUACACAGCUUUUCAACGAAUCGACUAACGGAGUUCUGCCUGGAGGUCAACUCGACAAGACGAAGUGCUGUCAAACAAUUAUCGGAGAUCCAAACGCAUUUCUAGGAGGCUCAAAACAUUCGAAAGUUCGAGAAUUAUGCUACAAAGGCCGUCGAAUUACGGAAAAGCUUAGGAGAGAAGAAUCGAGAGAAUAGCGGAAUUGUACCCACAAAAUUAUUUUAAAUAAAAUUAUUUUUUUUGUUUAUUUUAUUUUUGCUUGCAGUUUAUUUUCACCAAACGAAAAUUUUUUGCGAACAAAUUUUGGCACGCCCAGUGGGACCAGUUCUGCUCUCUGUCUCUUCUUCCUGCAAAUCAAAUUCAACUACUGCUAUGGAUAUCAAAAAUAUGAAAGAUAUCUCAUGCAAGAACUCUGCUACUGCCACAUCUGAUGAGCUCAACCUUGUUGGUCCCCUCACUCGGCGCAAAUUUAAGACCAGUGGUCGGGACGGAUCUGAAUACUUCACUUCUUUGGAGAAGGCAAAAAAGAUCAAAUAUCAUAUGAUGGUUGAAGCUGCAGCCCCUGGGGGCAAUUUGACAUCCUUGCUAUGUGAUGAAUCCUUUCAGACUGGCAUUAAUUUUAGUGAAUCUGAAGAUUCGACUGAUUCACCAACUUCAACAAAGGUCAACGCCUUGAUAGCCGACGCAACUAAUAUGGAUGAGAAGUUCACAAUAAUGGAACAAACCAUUGAAGUUUUGAAGAAAUCUAUCAAGGAUAAAGAUCUUCAAAUCGCUCAAUUGAUGAACAAGUUGGAGUCCUUCGCCCUUGAAGAAUCGAGCCACGACCCUUCUUAUCCACUCGACUUUACUUUGCAAAAUAAGGAUGUCGAUGAGUCACCUAGCAAGACUAAAUCUCAAAAAGAGAAGCAGCCUACUUCGGUUGCUACUAUAACAGUUCAACAACUGCAAGAUAUGAUUACAAAUACCAUCAAGGUACAAUAUGAUGGUCCAUCACAAAGUUUCAUAGGAUACUCAAAGUCGUAUUCUAAGCGAAUCGAUGGCUUAUCGAUGCCAAUUGAAUAUCAACUGCCAAAAUUUCAACAAUUUGAUGAAAAGGGAAAUCCCAACACAUUGCUCAUUUCAUUGAGACUUGUAGCAGUGCUGGUACACAUAGGUGAUCUUCUUCUCAAGCAAUUUGUUCGCUCUUUGAAAGGCAACUCUUUUGAUUGGUACAUGGACUUGGAGUCUGAAUCAAUUCAUUAUUGGGAUCAACUAGAAAGUCAUUUCCUAAAUCGUUUCUACAGCACUCGUCGUACGAUCAGCAUGAUGGAGUUGACAAACACAAGACAAAGUAAAGAUGAGCUUGUAGUGUACUACAUAAAUUAUUGGAGAACAUUGAGCUUUGAUUGCAAGGAUCAACUUUCUAAAACUUCCACGAUUAAAGUUUGCAUUCAAGGGAUGCAUUGGGUCCUUGUGUAUAUCCUUCAAGGAAUUAAGCCUCGAACUUUUGAAGGAUUAGCUACGCGUGCUCAUGAUAUAGAGUUAAGCAUUGCAAGUCAUAGAAUGGUGUCACCUAUUUUUUAUCCUAAAAAAGAAGUUACGAAAUUCAAUGACUCGUUAGAGGAUCAAAUUGGGGAAUCUAUGGUGACGAUUGUAAGUUCUAAGAAGGCCUCCACAAGACAAAAACUGAAAGAGGAAGCUCCAAAACAACAAAUGCAAGAAGUGGGAAAUCAACCAACUUUGAAAGAGUUACAUGCAAGGGUAUAUCCGUUUUUUGACUCUGAUGUUCCCGAAAUUCUAGACGAGUUGCUAGCCAAGAAGUCAUUGAACUCCUUAAGUUAAAGCGACCCGAAGAUUCAAACAAAGUCGACAAUCCUAAAUACUGCAAAUUUCACCGCAUUGUUGGUCAUCACACCACAAAAUGGUUCAUCCUGAAGGAAAAGAUCAUGACAUUAAUGCAAGAGGGAAAGAUCAUCAUUGAUGAUGGCGAUACAGUUGAUGCAAACAAUGUUAGCGUCGAACUGGACCAUAAAAAAGAUUUAAUUUCAAAAGUUCUACAACCCAUGUGCUAUGUGGCAUCAUCAAAAGGUGAGGGAAUCAUCAUGAUACAAUUUGGAAGCCUUGACCCGAUUGGGGUUGAAGCCUUGACCCGAUUGGGGUUCCAGCCUUGAAGAAAACAACAAGCAAAUACAUGCAAAACGACUUCUCCAAUAGCAAGAAGGGUGGUACUUGGACAUUGAUCGCUUGCAAAAGAAAAAAUUUUCAAAGGGCUUCUAAACUCCAUCUUUCAAAAGACGACCCAAGAUCAAAUGCAUAUCUUCUUCAACCGAUGGGGGGCGGUAAAUAUCAAAUUGAAGUCCAAUAAUACUUCAUUACAAAGGGUUGGGAGAAAAGUUACAUUACAAGAAUUCUUCCCCAAGACUCUCCUUAAGGCACGAGCAUAAACUGCAUGAUACUCUUGAUGCACGAGCCUAAACUGCAAGUCAAAAUGCUCCUUGAUGCACGAGCCUAAACUGCAUGUCAAAACGCUCCUUAAGACACGAGCAUAAACUGCAUGAUGCUCCUUGAUGCACGAGCCUAAACUGCAAGUCAAAAUGCUCCUCGAUGCACAAUCCUAAAUUGCAUGUCAAAACGCUCCUCAAGGUAUGAGCAAAAACUGCAUGAUGCUCCUCGAUGCACGAGCCUAAACUGCAAGUCAAAAUGCUCUUUGAUGGACGAGCCUAAACUGCAAGUCAAAACGCUCCUUAAGGUACGAGCAUAAACUGCAUGAUGCUCCUCGAUGCACGAUUCUAAACUGCAAGUCAAAAUGGUCCUUGAUGCACGAGCCUAAACUGCAAGUCAAAACGCUUCUUAAGGUAAGAGCAUAAACUGCAUGAUGCUCCUCGAUGCACAAGCCUAAACUACAAAUCAAAAUUCUUCUUGAUGCAUGAGCCUAAACUGCUAGUCAAAGCGCUCCUUAAGGCACGAGCAUAAACUACAUGAUACUCCUCGAUGCACGAGCCUAAACUGCAAGUCAAAAUGCUCCUCGAUGGACGAGCCUAAACUGCAAGUCAAAAUGCUCCUCGAUGCACAAGCCUAAACUGCAAAUGAAAAUGCUCCUCGAUGCAUGAGCCUAAACUGAAAGUCAAGCUGCUCCCCAAUGCACGAGCCUAAACUGUAAAUCAAACUACUCAUUCAUACACGAUCUUAAAUUGCAAGUCAAAUUACUCCUGGCCCGCAUGAGUCUAAACUGUGAACGGCUCUACAAAAAAAAUAGUAAAAGAGAAAAAUAAGGAAAAGUACGAAGCUUGAAUGUAUAUUUGGAGUCCUUUGAAGAUGUCAUCUUUAAAGCAAAAGGAUUCUUCAUUAUCUUCAAGCAAUGAAGUCUUCUCGACAAGUAAAAUAACUUGUGGUACUUUGAAUAUUGCUCUGGUCUAGCCUUCACCAAAUUACAGAAGUGAUGCAUCCCUAAACUUGAAGUAGAAGAAGAAAUUCAUGAAGUAUCCAAAUCUGACGAGAAGUAGAGUAUCACAAGAUUUAGGCUGCAACUUCGAAAAAAACCCUGAAAAAAUACAGAAGUUCAAUGAUAGUGGUUUUUCAUGUGAAACGUAGAUCUACAAAUCUACUUUCCAGUGCAAAAAACAUCACCUCAUUUAAAUACUUUCACAUCGAGAUAUGAAAUUUCUCGUGACGCUGCGCAAUGCUGAAAUAACUAGCGAACCAAGAUUAGAAGGCUGUUUUGGGAAGCAAUAUCUGGGGUGUUUCAGAUGCAAUCUGAUUGUGGUUUCUACGUGUGAUGUAUCUAUGAGAAUCUACUUUCCAAUAAAAAAAACGGCACCUGAUUUUGAUAUUUCCACAUCGAGAUAUGGGAUUUCUCGUGACGCUGCGCAAAGCUGAAAAAACUAGCAAACCAAGAUUAGUAGGCCGUAUUUGGAGUGAUAUCUGGGCCGAUUCUGAUGCAAUCUGAUUGUGAGCUUCAUGUGAUAUGUAGAUCUACGAGUCUAGUUUUCAAUGCAAAAAACGGGUUCUAAUUUCGAUGUUCCUAUGUCAAGAUAUGAGAGUUUUCGUAAGACUGCACGAAACAAGACAAAAGUGACGAAAUAGAACUGAAGGUCUGAUUUUAAAACGAUACCUGGGCAGAUUUGGUGAUAAUAUGAGCGUGGUUUUUGCGUAGAACGUAGCCUUGCGAGUCUACUUUCCAACACUACAAGCCGUUCAUGAUUCAAACACCUCCACGAUGCGUUAUGAAGCUUCUUCUACAGAUGCGCCAAAGUGCCGAAAGCUCAAUUGUGAAUAAAAGAGCAAAAAGAGGAGAAGAACGGGAGUUGAAUUUCUGCUCAGGCUGAAUUACAAUGAUUAAAGGGGGAGUUGAUGUCCUUUUAUAGACUCUAAAAGGCCCCAAUUUGAUUUUAAAAAGAAAUCUGCUGAACAAAGUUGUCUUCAACAAGAACUGGGACGUUUAAGUGUCCAAAAAUAAGUCAAUGAUACCUACAGUGACUCAUUUUGAGAAGGCAUGAUACAUAAACAGACCUUUAACUUGACAUCAAAUUAUAACUAUGCCCUUUUAACUUUGUCAGUGCACAAGUAAAUCCUUUAACUAUAUAAAAGUUGAACAAAAAAAUACUCCAAUUUUGCAACUUAAUGCGUGAAACUCAAUCGCUCCUACGUGUAUUAGUAAUCCACUCAAGCACUGCCACCUAAUAAAAAAGACACAUUAUAACUAUAACCUUUAACUUUGCCAGUGCACAAGUAGGCCCUUUAACUAUACAAAAGUUAAACAAAAAAAACUUCAAUUCUAACUCUGACGCACGUGAUUUUGAGUGUAUACACGCAUUUUGCUAGGUAAGAUUGAAGUGUUUUUUGUUUAACUUUUGUAUAGUUAAGAGGCCUACUUAUGGAAUGGUAAAGUUAAAGGUCAUAGUUAUAAUUUAAUCUCAAGUUAAAGUUUUUAUUUAUGCAUUGUGCCUUUUGAGAAAAUAUGAUUUGGGAUCUUAAAAGGUGAUGCAAUUUAUACAACUUUUUCUUUCAUACUCUUCGUUCCUUCUUAAUUGCUUCCUUGAUUUUUGUAGCUGAAUUAGAUUAGGUUAAUUUAAUUUUUUAAAAUUAAAUUUUAAAUAUUUAAAAAUUAUAUAAAAAGUAUUAUAAAGUAUAUUUUUUUUAUUUGAUUAAAAAAUAUAUAUUAAAAUAUUAAUUAAAAUUUUUAGCUUUUGACUCUAAAAAUAAAAAGAUAGCAAGUAAAAUAUAAUGGAUGGUUGGGAACAAUAUCUUAAUUUUUUACUCAAGAGCUAUAAGAAAUGUCGUUCCACGUGUCAAAGUGUGAAAAUUCAUUUUUAUUAUUAUUUUAUUUAUUUUAUAUGGAAUCAAUUUUCAUUCCAUUUGUGUAAGCAUAAUAAUACUAGGAAAAAUUUUAAAUUCGUGUUUGACCAUAAAUUUUUGAAUCACAUAUUCAAAGUUUUAACUUCAUAUAAUUGUACGAGCGCAUGUUUUGACUCUGAUAUUAAAAAUUUAUCUUCAAAAUAAUUUCAAAUUUAAACAUUUUAUAGCAGAAAACUAAUUUUCUUCCGCAAUACUUCAAAUGUAUAAAUUUGAAAAGUAACUUGAUAUAUUUGUUUGACCUCAUCUUUUGAAUCAAAUUUUAAAUAAUUUGUCUUCAAAAUUUUUAAAGUUUAAGUCAUUUUUAGAAGAAAUUUAAUUUACAUCCGCAAGAUUUCAAAUUUUAGGUCCAUUUUCGUGAUAUCAAUUAAAUGGAUGAUUUUAUGAGGAUGAAAUGAAUUUUAAAAACAAAAACAAAUAGGCAUUCACAUGGAAUAAUACUUAUACACUAUUAAAUCAUGGCAAUCUGGUUUUAGAUCCAAUUAAAUAUGACCAUGAUCAAUUUAAUUAUAUAGAUCAUUGACAAUCCUAUCUUUUGAAAAUACUAAUUAUAGUUCAAUUUAAUUUUAUGAUCAAUCCUAUCUUUUUUUUUUUAACCGAAGGUCUAUUGAAAAUAAUUAAUCUUCGUCAUAAAGAUACAGGUAAAAUCAUCGUAAGUCCUAUCCCUAAGACCCUACUUAUGAAAUUAUAUUGGAUCUGUCAUUAUUGGUUAUGUGAAAUGAUCCUAUAAAGUUUGCUAAAACACUUGAAAUUCAAUUUUAGCAUAAAAAUAAAAUUCUUAGAGAAAUUACAUUUUAAACUAUCGCCUGCAAAGAAAUAUUAUUUUUUUUUCAAGGCAAAAAUCAAAACGUACUUAAAAAAGUAGAUUAAAAAUAAGCACGAGAAGCACCAUUCAUAUUAUAUUUCUUUUACUUUUACAAGAAGAGAAAGCUCGAACUUCCUAGUCAUGAUAUAAGAUUGUCAAGGGGAAAGACAGAUAACAACAUGAAUAAAAUAAUCAUCAUAUACCUAUAGUGACUCAUUUUGAGAAAAUAUAAUUCUAAAUUUUUGGCCAAAAGAGUUUCAAGUUUAAAUCAUUUAUACAAGAAAAUUAAUUUUCAUCUGCAAGACUUUAAAUUUUGGAUAACUUUGAAUUAACUUCAUAUAUUUGUUUGAUUACAUAUUAUGAACCAGAUUUUAAAAACCUGUCUUCAAUUGUUUUUUUCAAGUUCAAGUCAUUUUAAGAAGAAGUUUACUUUUCACCCCCUUAAACUUCAAAUUUUGGAUCAAAAUUUAAAAAUCUAUCUUCAAAAAGUUUUCAAUGUUGAAUCCAAUUUUGGGAGAAAUUUAAUUUUCACCCCCAAGAUUUCAAAUCUGUAUCAACUUUUAAAAGUUCAACUUCUUAUAUUUGUUGAACACAUAUUUGAAUCAUAUUUUAAAAAUCUGCGUUAAAAUUUUUCACGUUAUACUAUUUUUGGGAGAAAUUUCAUUUCAACCCACAAGACAUCUAAUUUUUAAAAAAAUUAACUUAUAUAUCUAUUUGACCAUCUCUACUUCAUUUGAGAUAGUGGUACGGACUCCGUACACUACUCUAUCCACUCUCGAUCCCAUUUUAUGAAAAUACACUUGUAAACACAUUAUUUUUGACCAAAACCUAAUGUUUUACGUCAUUUUUAGUGUUUAAUAUAUAUAUGUAUUUUAUUUUUAGGUCUAAGUUAGAUAUUUCAAUUUUAUCUUAGUUUAACAAAGUUUGUUUUAAAAAUUUUGAAAACUACAAAAAUAGAGUCACAUUUUUAAAUAAGUUUUUAUUUUGUUGUUUAUUUAUAUAUUUUAGGAAAAAGGAAAUUUUUUAAAUUAUAUUGGUUUUCUUCUUUUAACUUUUAAUAAAUAAUCUAAUGAUUGUUGUAUUAUUUUAAUCAUAUUUCUAAGACUAGUUAUUAACUUAUUAGUUUUAAAUAGAUCUUAAUCAUUUUUAUUUUAUUUAAAAUAUUAAUAAUAAUAAUAAUAAAAAGAAAAAGAGACCUAAACUACCCAAACCACCCCACAAUUCCCACUUCCACUCAACCUCUCCCCCAUUUCCUCCACACAAACACACGAUACAUACCCAUAUACAUAUAUGAAGUUGAAGUUCUGUUGAAGUUUCUGGUGAUAACUUCUUGCUUUUGUAUUCAAUUAAGUUGGCAUACAGGUUCUGUUUUGAUCCUAUUUCUAUUAAAGUUAUAAAUCUCCUAUGAAAAGCAUGAAUGAAAUAUUCAAGUGGUCUAUGUAUAUUUUAUAUUAUUGCAUGUUAUAUAAUCGGGUUACAGAAUGGUUGAUCUAUUGUAUAUGGAUAUGUUGAAUGUUAAAAUGUUGUAUGUUAAAAUUAUAUAAAAGAAAAAGUAGAAAAAAUAAAAAAUGAAUGCACAUGCAUAGUGAGAAUACCUGGUAACACAAUACAAAGGGGAAACUUGCAUAUAGCAACGUGCACAUUCACAUAAGCCAAUUUACAAAUAUACACUUUCGUACUCUUUUUUUUUUUCCUUUUUUUUUACGCUAUACACAUUGCCUCCAUUUCUGUUUUGAGAUAAAUCUGUACACACUACGGAACACACAAAAUUCUACUUUGCUUUGUUAAUAUAAAAAUUAAUGUUUGAUUUAUUUUUUUAGUUGAGAUGCCAAAUUUAUUUUAUUAUUAUAAUUAUUAAUAUUAGAAUAAAGUUAAUAAAUAAAGAUGUAACAUGGAUCCUUUAAAAUGAAUAUACUAGUGACAUAAUGGUUGGUCAAAAUGUUUUAUUUUAUUUUUUUGGUUUUCUCAAGGAAAAAUUCUAAUAAAAGUCAACAAAAAUUUCUCCGAUAGCCAUUGACAGUAGUUUGGUUAUUCUAUAUUUUUAUACUUAGAAUUCGAGAUUUUGGUUAAUUUUCUUAUUUGAUAAUUUAUUUUGAAUAUUAAACAUUUUAUAAAAUAUUUAUUUUAAAGUUCUAGGUGAAUGUUAAAAUUACAAUAAGUGUUUAUCUUAAUAUGUUUUAUUCACCCUUUAGACUAAAUGCAUUCUUACGAUCUAAUUAAUCAAUCAAUCAUAAAAUAAGUGAAAUGAAUCGCGAGUUUCUCUAAGAUCCGUCAUAAAUGAUAAAUAAAAGAGAGGACGAGUGAGGCUAGUUGCAAAAUAAUUCAAAACUCAUUGCUAAAUAAAGAGUAAAAAGAGUAAAAAUUAUCUUGAGUUUACGAAAGAUGAAGCAAACGCCUUUAACGCUAGACAAAUUUUAGGCAUGUUUAAAUAUUCGUCUCAAUUAAGAAUGCGGCGUACACAUCUUUUUGAGACAUUUUAAAAAAUUCAAGGAUGCAAAAAUGCACCUUGACAAAUAUUUUUUUUAAUUUAAUUUUCACCAAUUUGUUUAACAUAAGAGGUGUAGACAUACAUUUUCAAUAUAAUUUAAAAUGAGAGAUUUUAGGCCUUAACAUAAUUUAUUAAAAUAAUUUAAGUCAGGAUAAGUCAAUAAAAGCGACCGUGCUAGAACCACGGGAUUCGAGGGGUGCCUAACACCUUCCCCUCGGUCAACAGAAUUCCUUAUCCGGAUUCCUAGUUCGCAGACCAAAAAAAUAAAAAAAAUAAAAAAAUAAAGAGUCAUUUCCUUUUGAAUAGGGAUUCAAUAAGGUGACUUGGAACACCCAAACUCAAUUCCAAGUGACGACUCUGUAAAUAAAAUAAUCCCUUUUCAAAACGUCACUUUAAUUGGAAAAACCCAUUUUUUCUAAAACCAACUCCUUAGCGGGGUCGGAUGCGGUGAAAAACAGGGGUGUGACAACACUGAUGUAUUGUUGUUGUUGUAUAUUAAUUUGACCAUAUAUUGUGAACUAAAUUCUUAAAAUCUUGCGAAGAAAUAUGCUUUUUUUAAAGACAAAAUCAAAAGUUAUUCCAAAAGAAAAUAAAAAUCAAAACAUGCUCUAAAGUAGAUUUUGAAUUCGGCCAUAAGAUUAAAAAUAAGCAAGAGAAACACUAUUAAUAUUACUAGUAUUCGUACCCGCGCGUUGCGCGGAAUAUUAAGAAAUUAUAAUAAUUGAAAAUAUUUACAUGACUUACUUGGGGGUUUGGGUCACAGGUGACAAAAGAGUUUUAAAAUGAGGUGUAGGUGACACAAGUCUUAAUUAUUAGUUGUAGGUGACAAUUACUUUAUUAUGUAUUAAGAAAGUUGGGGAAGUUUGAAAAUAACCCACAAGUUUUUAAAUUUACACUUUGAUCCCAAUGUAUACCUAAAAUAACGGAAAACGGAGGGAAGAAGGCGGCUUUCUCUCUCUUCUCAUCCAUUGUUGUUUUCUCUCUCUUAACGAUUUUUGUUGUUAAUUGUUUUUGUUUCUGCUGCUUUAUUCAUCAUCUUUUGCUUCAUUAUCAUCAUCUUCUACUUCAUUAUCAUCUUCAUCUUCUUCUUGUCGACCAUUUGUUGUUGUUGUUGUUGGUGGUACAACGCUACUGCUGCGAUCUGACCAAUUUCUUAGGUCAAAUUUUGUUUACUACAUCACUUUCCACUUUGACAUUACUUCAUAGGUGACUUUGGUAAGUAAAAUUAUGAUUUUUAUUCGUAUUUGUCAUUUGGGUAUACUUCUGUUUUUCCAACAAUGGAUAGAACCCCGAUUAUGAAUCCAACAUAUAUGCCCACAAUUUAAACAGAUCAAUCAUCUAGUGCAUCAGAUGAGUAAUCUGUUGCAUCAGAAGAUUUAUCUGUUGUAUCAGACUGUUUAUCUGUUACAUCAUUGUAUUAUCUAUUGCAUCAGACGUAUUAUCUGUUGUAUCAGGAUGUUUAUCUGUUGCACCAGACUAAUUAUCUGUUGCAUCAGAAUGUUUAUCUGUUGCACCAGACUAAUUAUCUGUUGCAACGAAUGAUUAAUCUGUUUGAAACAACACAAAUCAACCCUUGCCACAAACCCAACAGAUAACCAAUAUGUUUUCAAUACUUGCUAUUUCUACUGGAUUCAAAAUUAUUCCUUACGUCCAAUUACCCAUCCCAAAUUUCCUAAUUCGAUUUCUCAUUUUACUUGUCUUUUUCAUUAAUCAAGAAAAGAUUAAAAAAAAAUCCAUGUUUUNNNNNNNNNNNNNNNNNNNNNNNNNNNNNNNNNNNNNNNNNNNNNNNNNNNNNNNNNNNNNNNNNNNNNNNNNNNNNNNNNNNNNNNNNNNNNNNNNNNNNNNNNNNNNNNNNNNNNNNNNNNNNNNNNNNNNNNNNNNNNNNNNNNNNNNNNNNNNNNNNNNNNNNNNNNNNNNNNNNNNNNNNNNNNNNNNNNNNNNNNNNNNNNNNNNNNNNNNNNNNNNNNNNNNNNNNNNNNNNNNNNNNNNNNNNNNNNNNNNNNNNNNNNNNNNNNNNNNNNNNNNNNNNNNNNNNNNNNNNNNNNNNNNNNNNNNNNNNNNNNNNNNNNNNNNNNNNNNNNNNNNNNNNNNNNNNNNNNNNNNNNNNNNNNNNNNNNNNNNNNNNNNNNNNNNNNNNNNNNNNNNNNNNNNNNNNNNNNNNNNNNNNNNNNNNNNNNNNNNNNNNNNNNNNNNNNNNNNNNNNNNNNNNNNNNNNNNNNNNNNNNNNNNNNNNNNNNNNNNNNNNNNNNNNNNNNNNNNNNNNNNNNNNNNNNNNNNNNNNNNNNNNNNNNNNNNNNNNNNNNNNNNNNNNNNNNNNNNNNNNNNNNNNNNNNNNNNNNNNNNNNNNNNNNNNNNNNNNNNNNNNNNNNNNNNNNNNNNNNNNNNNNNNNNNNNNNNNNNNNNNNNNNNNNNNNNNNNNNNNNNNNNNNNNNNNNNNNNNNNNNNNNNNNNNNNNNNNNNNNNNNNNNNNNNNNNNNNNNNNNNNNNNNNNNNNNNNNNNNNNNNNNNNNNNNNNNNNNNNNNNNNNNNNNNNNNNNNNNNNNNNNNNNNNNNNNNNNNNNNNNNNNNNNNNNNNNNNNNNNNNNNNNNNNNNNNNNNNNNNNNNNNNNNNNNNNNNNNNNNNNNNNNNNNNNNNNNNNNNNNNNNNNNNNNNNNNNNNNNNNNNNNNNNNNNNNNNNNNNNNNNNNNNNNNNNNNNNNNNNNNNNNNNNNNNNNNNNNNNNNNNNNNNNNNNNNNNNNNNNNNNNNNNNNNNNNNNUUCAAAAACAAAAAUGAUGAAAAGUCACGAUCAUUUAUUAAAAUUGUGGUUAUAAAUUAUGUUUAUUAUUUAUUUCCUUAUUAUUUAUUUACGAAACAUUUUUCAUAUUUAAUAAUCGGAACGAAAAGUCAUGUCUUUUUCUUUUCACCCUCUCAAUAAGAACAAUAACCCUUUUUUAUUAAUAACCGCCAGAUGCAACAUAUGAUCGAUCUGUCGUAGCAGAUUAACCUCUAACUGUUGACACAAAUUGUUGUUCAAUCCCCACCACCAACCGUCAACAUGUUGAGAACAAGGAAUAAACAGAAUGAUUAUUAUUAAAUACUAAAUAAGAAUUAAAAAUUCAAAGUCGACAACAAAAUGAAAUGAAUGUUCAUAGAUUUUUGAAUCUCUUGGGUAGAUUUGAUAUACAAAAGGAGGAAAAUAAUCGCUAAAAUAAAAAACAUUACCUAAUUAUUAUUACUNNNNNNNNNNNNNNNNNNNNNNNNNNNNNNNNNNNNNNNNNNNNNNNNNNNNNNNNNNNNNNNNNNNNNNNNNNNNNNNNNNNNNNNNNNNNNNNNNNNNNNNNNNNNNNNNNNNNNNNNNNNGAAUCUGGAUCAUCCAUAUUUGUAAGGAGGGACCUAUUUAUAAAUUAUUGUAUCUCGAAAAGAAAAGAAAAUUGCUUUAAAAUAAAUCUAACAGAUGGGUAAUCUGUUGCAAAAUAUAUUCUUUCUGUUAGAUAACCUUACAACAUCUGGCAAUCUUUUUGCAACAGAUGUAUAUAUCUGUUUGAUUUCUACAACAGGUUGAUCAACUGUCAUAGCAGAUGUCUCCAAUUGAUUGACAAUAUAAACAGAUGUGUCAUCUGUUGCAAUAAGCUAAUCUUCUGUUUAUUCAAUUUAAGCCAUAGGUGGGCUAGGAAGAAUAAGGUGCGAGCAGAUGGAUCCACUAUCAUAUGUGUGGGAGUUAAGUAUGUAUUACUGACAAGGUUAUCGGGACAACACACACAAAGUACAAUAUUUUUGUGAAUGUAGUUUUUAAUCGAUUAGGCAUUGAUCAUUCAAACAAGAUCCUGCAUUGUACCAUUAAGUUUUAUGGGUUCGAAAUUGAUAAGGCUGAGGACCUCAUGAAGAUGGUGCAGAUGCCCUGUUACGAAUUACUGAUGGUUGGUGCUCGUAUUUAUGUGUGUCAAGUUUUGAGAAGGGAUCAAUAUUUUUCGUCACUGCAGAGAAUCAAUAACAAUUGAACUUAACUUUAAGUGUGCAUUGGACCCUUAGAAGGCCCUCGAAGCCUCGCACUGCAUCAAACAAGAACAGAAAAUCAAUAUAGUUAUUGCCCUGACCAAAAUUUAUAUGGCUGGGUUGCUCGCUCGGGUGAUGAUUAUAUGCCAGAAGGUGCAGUAGUAGAAUACUUUUGAGGGAAAAUGGGUGGUCGAUGGAAGACUAUAUCAUCUGAGAGCUAAUUGAAGAAGAGACACAUGGUAGAAAGUAACUUCUAACGAAUCUGGCCGAUGGAAUUAUCUUAACAGAUACAAAAUCUGAAUCAAGUGCAAAUAUGAAAGUGUAUCCGGUAAUGUAAUUUUGUCUGUUGUGUCUAUGAAAGAAAAACAAUGCAGAUGGACAUUUUGCUAGGGAGCUGCAUGGUCGGGGUUAUCACCUAGGUAGAAAAUAGGAGAAGACCAACAAAGCAGCCUCAUGGGCAUCGGGGGUAGAAAUGAUGUUCAGAAAGUCUAGAAAACUUACACCAAGAACAACUGCAGUUAAAAUAAGGAAACUAAGCGAAGGCGACAAUUUCUGAAUUUUAAAUUUCAUCCCAUCUUUUUGUUUGUGUUUCUGAUCAGGUCCACUGCCGUUGACCUGAUCAGAACCACAAACGAGAUUGAAAGGCAAAUAGAGUAUAAUUACUUCCUUAGCAAUAUGAAUUAAUUGAUUAUGUUUUCUUGCCUUAGCAUGCUUUCAACAUUCCUUGGAGAAGAUCAGAUGCUUGCUGUAGUAUGUGAAUCCCUAUAAUUUUCAAGCUUGCCUCCAGCUUGUUGAUUUUGUAUUCAACCUGGUCGUUACCAUCUUCGAAGUUGGUAAGGAGCUCCUCGUCUCUUGUUAGCUCGAUCAGGAACACUACAUUCAAAGUUGUAGCAUUCUAAAAGCCCUUCAGAACACUUACUUUAGAAGCCUUAAAGGAUACAUGGAGGGUCGUUGUGUUUGUUUUAGGUCAAAAUGUGUUGAUGCACGUUGAAGAUAUGGUCCCAACAGUUGAACAACACACUUUUAUCGAGUGUUUCUCCAUGCAUCUUGCUCAAUGAAUUUGAUAAAUUAGUAAGCAUGGAGUUACGUAGUAUGUGAUUUAAACCGACUCUACCAAGAUUAUCAAAUGUUACGUAACUCCGAGCUCAUUACCCUAUCAAAAUAAUAUGCCCGAGUUAGUGCACAAAUAUAAAAAGCUCAAUCUGUCAGCCUUUCUGCUAAUCACUCUUCUCCAAUAUAGAUGACAAGAUAUCUGCUAUGCAAAAGUCUACACCAUCGUCAUACAUGAUUGCCUGGGAGAAAUUCUUCAGAAGACAUCAACAAAGAUCCUUCAGAAGAAUUGCUCCCAGGCAAACAUAUUUGGCAACGGUGUAGACUUUUGCAUAGCAGAUAUCUUGUCAUUUAUAUUGGAGAAGAGCGAUCAAUAGAAAGGCUAAGAGAUUGAGCUCGUUCGAUUUGUGCACUAACUCAGUCGUAUUUUUUUGAUAGAGUAAUGAGCUUAGAGUUACGUAAUGUUUGAUAGGCUUGGUAGUGCCGGUUUAGAUCACACGCUACGUAACUCCAUGCUUACUAAUUUAUCAAAUUGGUUGAGCAAGAUGCAUGGAGCAAUGCUCAAUAAAAGUGUGUUGUUCAACUGUUAGGACCACAUCUUCAACGUGCAUAAACAUAUUUUGACCUAAAACAAACACAAAGACCCUCCAUGUAUCCUUUAAGGCUUCUGAAGAAACUAUUCUGAAGGGCUUCUAGAAUGCCAUAACUUUGAAGGUAGUGUUCCUGAUCGAGCUCACAAGAGACGAGAAACUCCUUACCAACUUUGACGAGGGCAACGACCAGCUUGAAUACAGAAUUAAAAAGCUGGAGGCAAGCUAGAAAAUUAUCAAAAUUCACAUACUACAACAAACAUCUGAUCUUCUCCAAGGAAUGUUGAAAGCAUGUCAAGGCAAGAAAACACAAUCAAUUAUAACCAUAUUGCUAAGGAAACAAUGAUACUCUAUUUGCAUUUCAAUCUCGUUUGUGGUUCCGAUCAGGUCAACGAUAGUGGGCCUGAUCGGAAACACAAACAAGAAAGCAUGGGAUGAAACUUAAAAUUUAGAAAUUUGCCGCCUUCGCUUAGAUUCCUUAUUUUAACUACAAUUGCUGUUGGCAUAAGUUUUCUAGACUUGCUGAACAUCAUUUCUACCCUCGAUGCCCGUGAGGCUGCUUUGUUGGUCUUCUCCUAUUUUCUACCUUGGUGAUCAUCCCGACCAUGCAGCUCCCUAGAAAAGUGUCCAUCUGGAUUGUUUUUCUUUCAAAGAUACAACAAAUGAAAUUACAUUAUCGGAUACACUUUUAUAUUUGCAGUUGAUUCAAAUUUUGCAUCUGUUAAGAUAAUUCCGUCGGCCAGAUUCGUUAAAAGUUACUUUCUACCCUGUGUCUCUUCUUCAAUGAUCUCUCAGAUGAUAUAGUCUUCCAUCAACCACCCAUUUUCCUUCGAAAGCAUUCUCCUAUUGCACAUUCUAGCAUAAAAUCAUCACCUCAAGCGAGCAACCCAGCCAUAUAAAUUUUUACCAGGGCAAUAAAUAUAUUGGUUUUUCGUUCUUGUUAGAUGCAGUGCUAAGCUUCGAAGGCCCUCUAAGGGUCCAAUGCACCCUAAAAGUUAGUCCAAUCGCUAUUGAAUCUCUUUACAAUGACACAAAAACUAGAUAUCUUCACAAUGCUUGACAAAUAAACAUGAGCAACAACCGACAUUAAAUCUUAACAGGCUAUCAGAACCAUAUUCAUGGUUCCUCAGCCUUAUCAGUUCGGACCUACCAAACUUAGCUGUAAAAUUGCAGACAUCUUAUUUAAAUGAUCUAUGACUAAUCAGUAAAAAUAUCAUUCAAAAAAUCAGUGCACUCUGUGUGUGUUUCCGUGAUAACAUUAUCAGUAUUACAUACCUCCUAUAUAUGAAGUGGUUCAAUCUACAAGCAGCUUAUUCCUCUGAUCCCAUCUUUACUGCAGCCUCUUGCGAUAGUUUGUCAAAAGUUGAUCAACUGUCAGUUCCUUAUAUCUACAAAGAAGAGGAAAAAAAUUGAUGUCACAAAAAGAAUAUUAUCUAUCUGUUGCAUCAGAUGUGGAGUCUGUUGCAACAGAUGUGGAGUCUGUUGUAACAGAUGUGGAGUCUGAUGGAAUAUAUCAAACUAACCUUUCUGGUGGUUUUAUUUGUUCCAAUAGUUUCUCCAUCUAUUGCAACAUCAACAACAGCAUAAACAUCAAUAAAAAAAAAUAACAACAUUUGUUCUAAUUACAUCAUCAACAACAAAGAAGCAACAUCUUUUGUGCCAAAACCAUCAACAACACCACACCACGAGUUCUAAUAAUGCCAACCCCACCAAAAACAUCAAUAAAUGCAUCAACAAUAAUGAAACAAACAAAAUUCAUACAAAAAAAUAAUACUGCCAACAAGGCUUUUAAACUUCUCCCAAUAGAUGACUUUUUUUUCAUAUUAUAAUAAAAAUUCUUGGAUUUUUUAUUCAACACUUACAAGUUUCUUAAUUUUUUUUAAUACAUAUGAUAUGGGUAAAUAGUAAUUAAAUUAAAAAACAGAUGUAAAUAACUUGCAAAGAAGAAGACAAGAAUGAAAGAGCAAUAAUGAACCAUACCUUAAUAUCAAAAAGGGGAUCAAAAUAGAAAUUUAAGUCAAGGAGGAAAGAUAUGGAUGGAUUUAGAUCUGAAAACAUCUUUAUGAGAAGAGAAGAGAAAAGAGAGAAAAAAGACCGUGACCCUAAAGAGGAGAGAGAAAAAAAUGAGAGUUGAAUAAAAUAAACUGCAACUGAAGGAAGAGACGAGAUAAUUUCUAUAGAUGUAUUGUGUACAUAGACGUGGUGGUUUUCAAUAUUCAUUAAUUAAUAUUCAUUAAUUUCAUUAAUAAUUUGAGGGGCACGAGGAAGACUAAGACUACUGACAUUGAAAAUACAAGACAAGUCUGCUCAAUGAACUCACUUUUGAGAUAUCCAAGAACCAUUUCUUACUGCCUUUAGUAGUAAGUACUAUUACUUGAUAUUAUCUACUCGGACCAGAAGCUUCUUGCUUUAAAAUUAAAAGAGAAAAAAUGAUUUUCAAACAGAUAUGUCAUCUGUUGCAACAUAUAUAAAUAUCUGUUUAGAAAUCCGAACACCUCAGUCAUCUGUUACAACAUAUAUAAAUAUCUGUUUAAAAAUUCCAAUAGCUCAGUCAUCUGUGACAACAGAAGAAAAUAUUCAUUUGAUAAUUAAUAAAAUUAGAUAUGUCAUCUGUUACAACAGAUAUAAAUAUCUCUUUGAAAAUUUCCAACAGCUCAGUCAUCUGUCACAACAGAUGCAAAUAUCUAUUUGAUAAUUAAAUCAGAUAUGUCAUCUGUUGUAGCAUAUAUGUACCUGUUUGAAAAUUUUCAACAGCUUAGUCAUUUGUUGCAGCAGAUUUCAUUGCAAUUGAUUUAGGUGGAACUGGGGAUGAAUGAAUGAGCUUGCAGGAUCAACUAUAAAUUCAAUCGAGUCUUUGCAAUUGCAUGGCAUUGAUAUUGCGUUUAUCCCGACCCGAGUCAUCGAUAUAUCACUCUGAGUUGAAAUGAGUUCUCAUCAACUCAAUAUUAGGAUAGUGAUAGUACUUAAGUUAAUUUAAGUGGAACUAGCGAUGAAUGAAUGAGCUCACAGGAUCAACUACAAAUCUAAUCGAGUCUUUGCAAUUGCAUGGCGCUGGUAUUGCGUUUAUCCCGACCCGAGUCGUCGAUCGAUCACUCUGAGUUGAAAUGAGUUCUCAUCAACUCAAUAUUAGGAUAGUGAUAGUACCUAAGUUGAUUUAGGUGAAACUAGGGAUGAAUGAAUGAGCUUGCAGGGUUAACUACAAAUCCAAUCGUGUUUGGUAUUGCGUUUAUCCCGACCCGAGUCGUCGAUCGAUCACUCUGAGUUGAAAUGAGUUCUCAUCAACUCAAUGUUAGGAUAGUGAUAGUACCUAAGUUGAUUUAGGUGGAACUAGGAAUGAAUGAAUGAGCUCACAGGGUCAACUACAAAUCCAAUCGAGUCUUUGCAAUUGCAUGGCGCUGGUAUUGCGUUUAUCCCAACCCAAGUUGUCGAUCGAUCACUCUGAGUUGAAAUGAAUUCUCAUCAACUCAAUGUUUUAAAAACUAUAUCUUUUAAAAAUUUUAAAAUUAAUUAAGAUCAAUUUUGACAAAAUUAGCAAUUUCAAAACUUGUCAUUCUUUUCCAAAAUUACAAAUUAACCUAUACAAAUCAUCCAUUUGCGCGAAAAACUUUUCAUUUCAAAUCUUAAGUUCUCACUCUUCUCUCUCUCUCUCUCUCGGGGUGUCCUCUCCCUUUCAACAAUACAAACAACAAAUACUCAACAUAUUGCUCAACCCUUCAAAACAGGUUGAUUUUUUUCCCAUUUACGACUGCAUAUAGUUGUUUUUUAGACUUCAUUCCCGCUUGUAUCCGUUGUUUUCUCUAUCUUCGCAUGUAAUAGAGUUUGAGAAGAGUUCUACAUUUGUUCUAUAUUUUAAAAAAAUAGGGCUUUUUAGUUAAUGAUAAAAAAGAAUACUUUUAGUUGUAUUAUCUUCGAGAAUGGGUUAACAAUUUUGAGUUUUGAUGCUAAAAAAGUAGGAAGCACCCGAGAAAACCCUAGUGUUUCUCUUAGUGUUUUGUUGAUUGUCGUGGUAUUGUUGGAUGGUGUUUGUGGUGUUGUUAGUGGCUGUUGUUGGUGGUGUUGGUAUUUGUGUUUUUUGGCGGUGGUGUCGGUGGUCUUGGUGUUGGUAUUGGUGGCAUUGGUGGUGGUCUUGGUGGCAUUGGUUGUGGUGGUGGUGGUCCAUCUGUUGUAACGGGUGAAAGAUCUGUUGGGAGAUAUUAAAUAGGUCUUCAAACAGAUUCCCCAUCUGUUCCAACUGAUGGGUUAUCCGUUAGAGUAUUUUCUUGUAAUAUGGCAUAGAAUCAUUUAUUGAAAUUUCUCCACCUAUUGAAAUAGGUGAAAUAUCUGUGGGGAGAUAUUAAAUAGAUCUUCAAACAGAUUUGGGUUCCCCAUCUGUUCCAACUGAUGGGUUGUCCGUUGGAGUAUUUUUUUUGAUUAUGUGGUAAGAGUAAUUUAUUGAAAUUUGUCUCACCUUUUUAAAGAAAAUUAUGCAGACAUCAAAUGCAAUGUAUUUUUUGUUUUUCUUUUAUUUGUAGUUAAAAGAUGUCUCCCAAAAGAAAAGAAACAGAAAGUGGAGAAAGUGGAUCAAUUUCCGAUCACCAAACAAAAAAGGCUAGAGUACAGAUAGAUUUGGAGGGACUUCUNNNNNNNNNNNNNNNNNNNNNNNNNNNNNNNNNNNNNNNNNNNNNNNNNNNNNNNNNNNNNNNNNNNNNNNNNNNNNNNNNNNNNNNNNNNNNNNNNNNNNNNNNNNNNNNNNNNNNNNNNNNNNNNNNNNNNNNNNNNNNNNNNNNNNNNNNNNNAACUUAGGAGUAUUAUGAAGAAGGAAAACAUAGAUGGACUUUUUAAGAAGAGCUGCUUUGCACACUUUCUUGAGCUGUCUGAGCCCCGCCCUCUCCGUUUCCCAAUGAUCAUGGUAUAUGACCUUCUCAAGCGUAGGAUCAUGUAUGCGGAGGAUGAUGGAGGUUCGAAGGAGGGCGAAAAUAACACGGAUGAAGUCUGGAUCAACUACUGUGGCAUGCUGAUUUAUUUUGGAUUGAAAGAGUUUGCCAUUGUGACGGGCUUAGAUGCGAUCAUCCAGAAGAACCUGCCAUCAAGAAAACACCCCACAAAGGGUCCAACAAAUGCUAGGUAAAAAAAGAUGGGUUGUUGGGAAUUGUUGGACCUAGCUACAAAGUGAAGGAUUUGAUAGUGGAUCUCAAGAAUAAAGACAUACCAAAGCACUACAGGAAGAAAUUGUGCUUAGUUUGGCUUGUCUAUUCCGUUUUAUUGGUAAAAGACGUCAAGAAAGUCAUAGAACAUGAUUUGUUGGCGCUUGCUGAUGAUUUUUGGAAAUUCAACGACUAUCCCUGGGGCUACGACAGCUACUACUUGACUUUCAAAUAUUUACUGAAAGAGAUAAAGCCAAAGACGACCACAUUAUACGGCUUUCCUUGGGCUUUCAUGGUAAAAUUGAUCACUAUUUUUACUCAUUCAUUAAUUUAUAUUGAAUAUACUUGUGACUUUUUUUUCUUGCUUCCUAUUUACAAUUUUUAGGCUUGGACAUGUGAAGCCAUUCCUCUCCUCCCAAAGCAUUUCACGAUUACCCGGAUAAGGUUUCUCAUCCAAGGAUCCUUAGGUGGUUGGCUGCAGUAGAAAACAGUAAAAAAAAUAUUAACGAGGCUGAUCUCUUUAACCUUUCGGAUGAUGCAGUACAUCUUCUUUCAACUAAAAUAAUUUGCCUCAAAUAAAGAUAUUGAAACAAAUGUUCCAUCUGUUGUAACACAUUACCCGUCAACUGCAACUGGUGCAACAGAUGGAUAAUCUGUUGCAACAGACGAUCCAUAUUUCACAACAGAUUAACCAUACUCUGUUCUUUAAACCCUACUCAACAGAUUACCCAUCUACUGUAAAUUAUGCAACAGAUGGGUAUUUUGAUGCAACAUAUUAUCAAUUUAUUUCAACAUACAGAUCAGCUGUUGCGGUAGCUAGAUUUUUUGUUGCAUAAGUUGGUUGUGUUAACAUAACCCGAGCCCCAUGUCACCCAACUGACUGCAAAUUAUUAUUAUAUGAUUUAAAUUCCUCCCGUCAUUUUUUUAUAGGUUGUGCAUCCUUGGAUCGUGCCUACCAUUGAUGAGCUGGAGAUGACUUUUUUUCUUAAUCUGGGUCUUGUUGAUACAAAAGAAAACUCAAAGGUGGAGUUAAUUAAGAAUAAAUUGGAUGGAGCAACAUCCAUAAGAAGAGUAGUUAGGCAAGGUCAGUCUAAUAUUGAAGCUCUUCACGACCUAACUCAAACUAGAAUAGAUCCGGGUGCUUCUUCUGGGGUGUUGCUGGUGGAGUUCUUUGUGAUGGUGGCAGCCAUCCUGCUUCUGCUUCUGCUGCCAGUCGUGAUUAUGAUCAUAUUGGUGCUCAGCAAAAAAUAAAUAUGUUUGAAAACACCCCUUGCACAGGUCCUCCUUCUCACCCCUACACCGGUCCCUCCCACCUUUACAGUGGUCCCUCUCACCCCUUCUCACCCUUAUGUUCUCAUUGUAAAUGCAAAGUGUGAAAGGACAGACAGGAUAAACUCCUCGACAAGCUAGAGGCUAUUGAUGAAGCUACCGAGGAGUUGAAAUCUAGGAGGGGUGUCAUACCAUCCAAUGAGGUGAGGGAGCCAUGCACUCCUACAGUGGAGGUUAGGAGGAAGAGAAGAAAAAUUAGACAAAUUCUCUCCAUUCUAAAAUUGGCAAAAAUUUCAAUUCCCUCUGCUCUAAUAGUUGUUGAAGUUCAGGGGCCACCGAAGAAGGUGGACAUAUUCGCGGCGCUUGGCAAGGAGAAGAAGAAGGAACUGGAAGAAUUCAUCAAGAUGAAGGUUCAAAAAGAAUACACCAUGCAUUCAUUUACCACCAAAGACUUCUCAAAUAUGACAAAUAUAUGCGUGUGGUACGAGGACAACGUAAGUUUACUUUUUCUAACCUACCCUUCAAAUCUACUCCAUGAAGAAGAAUCUACGCAGCAGAUGUGUAAUCUGUUGCAAAAACUGAUUCAGAGAAUCCUCUGCAUCGGAUUCUUUCGACUGUGUUUUUAUUCUUUACAAUUACUAACCUAUUUAAAAAUUAUCUUCUUAUACCACAGUAUGUUGAUGAAAUUCUCUACCUCAUGAGGGGCAGGCAAUUAGCGUACCCGGAUGCUUAUGAUGUUUUCGAUAGGAUAAUGGACCUCAACUUCUACAAUAAUUUCAAGGAUAGGUACGCUAAACUCUGUAAGAUAGCUGAUUCCGGUGGCCCUGGAUUUGAUCAGUUAGUUUCUAUGUUCCAAUGGGAUGAAGAAGCGAUUAAAUAUGUUAGAGGAAAGAGGUCAUAUCCACAUGGAAAGAGCUGGACCAAGGCAAAGAGAAUCCUUGCAGCCAUGAACGUGGAUGUCACCCGUUUUCUCACUGUUGAGAUACUACUAUACGAGGGAAAGAUUAAGGUUUAUGACUGCAACUUACCUGUGUUCAGUGAGAAGACGUUUUUAACCCACAUGCAGCCACUCUUGAAGUUGUUGCCCAAGUUGUUGACGCAGAGUAAGCUGAUGGAUCAUUUACCGGCUGAAGUCUUGGCGAAGGAAUCAUGGGUUUUUAAAGGUCGAAAUAAGAACAUCCAGCUCCCAAAAAAUACAAUCGGUGCAGCGUGCGGGCCAUACUUACUUGCAUACAUCGAGUGUUUACUGACCGGCACACAAAUGACCGGUGUAUGCAACACCAUUGUGGGAAAGAUGUAAUGGGUCUGGGCAUAUGGGGUGCUAAGUAAAUGGUUGGAGCCCGUGUAUAAAAAAGAACAUGUACAAAGACAGAGACGAACACAAUAACAAAUUUUUAUUUCAAGCCAAUUCACUAUACAUAUAGGGACAAUAAUUUUUAUGUCUGGAAAAGUUGAAUUUUUAUAAAGCAAUAGAUUUUAUAUCUGUCAUAACAGAUAUAGUACCUGUUGUGAUAGAUUGAUUAUCUGUUGGAAUAGGUUGGUCAUCUGUUGCGUUAUGCAGAUGUUCCCCGUCUGUCUGUCGCAACAGAUUGUCGAUCUGUUGCAACAUAUAACUUAUCUGUUGUAACUGAUCGGUAAUCUGUUGGAGCAAAUGAAAAAAGUAGGAAGACCUGUUAUAUAAUUUCCAGCAGAUGACCAACGUGUUGCAUCUCAUGUUGCAACAUAUGUCUAAAUCUGUCUGAUGAGAUAUGUCAUCUGUUGUAACAGAUGUAUUAUUUAUUACGAUAUUUGAAUCUAGUACUCCAUUUUAAUUAAGAUGUUCAAAACUCAGAAUUAAUUAUAUUCAUAGACAGAAUAAAAUAAAUCGAAGCCUUCGAAAAUUACAUGAAAUAACUCAACAAAUAAAUGAAAUGUAAAAAAAAUCAUUUUGAGUACAAACGAUCUACUCUACAAAUAAAUCAACAAGUUAAACCAAGGAGGAUAGGUUAUUGCAUUGUCGGAAUCAAGCUAUAAAGAUCUAAUCAAUAUAUACAAGUUGUUCUUCAUUCAGUGCUAUGGCAUUCGGCUUUGGUCAUCGUGGAUCUUUAACGUCGGUUGCGUACGGCUUCUGAGCUUUCACUUCUCCAUAUUUCCAUAAAACAGCAGCAUAUCUUUUGUGGAGUAAUCCGGCAUCAAGUCCAUCAUUUGGUACUUGUAAUUCAUCACUCAAAUACUCGACAUAGGCGGCAACAAAAGGACCGCAAUCCCUACGUUAUAAAAAAAUAGAUAAUCCAUAUCUUGUAGUUCAUACAAGCGUUGUGAAAUUUGUGAAAUGAAACUAAAUCAUAACAGUUAAACUUACAGGCUACCAAUGGUUUGUUGAGCAAUUCCGUCAACAUAUUGUACAUCAAAUGGAUUAGCUAUUUUAUCCCGGUAUGCUUCAAUCGUUGACCAAUCAGUACAAAUCUUUUGAUCUAAAAAACCACUCAUAUCAAGGUAAGUAGGCAAUAUUUUGGCCAGCUUUUGUAUCUCAGAUGACGACUCAGAACGUCUCCUUCACAAUAUCGAGUCAUAAACUCGGAUGCGCCUCUCUUUUAGAACGAUGACAGCCAACACCCAAUGGAAUUCAUCACCACAAUUGAUUGGGAUGUACACUUCGUCGAUCAAAUGCUAAGGUAGCCAACCGGAAUGCUAAAACCUUUGAUGAUGUUGAUUAAGCAUUCCUCAUUUUGGGAAACUUCCGAGUGCUGUUAACAAUACCUAUUGUAGGCAUUAUUGAUGUAAACUUUGUACAAACAAUUGCCUGUUGUGUAUCUGUAUUGUUCUUGUUCUUGCAACUUGGCCUUCUUUCAAAGAUAGUAAAAAAUGACAUUGAUGUGCUGUACAUAUUAUUAAAUAUUUCGGAUUACAUGACGAAAAAAUAAUACGCCGAUGUAAUUAAAUAAAGUAUUAAUUAAUAGUAAUAUGUAUGGCCUUUAAACCUUAUCAUUCCAGCAAGUUUGGGGCUGUGACAUCAAAUAGAACCAAUUCUUCAUUCCGGAAUGUGCAACAACAAAGUCGAACAUAUCAAAACCAUGACUCGAUUCGUUCACUUUGUAGCGCUCAUCAUUUUGUUUUCUACAUGAUAAUUUAUAUGUGUUAAUGUCAGGUUCUUACAACAAGAAUUGUAUAAACCAAUAUCCAUAAAAUUGAUUUAUGUACCUGCCGGCAUGAUGCUUUAACAGCCCAUCGAUAAUCCAUUCUGAAUAGUCGUUAAUCAACUGUGUUAGUUUUUUUGGAGCCUCGUCCGAGAUGUUGAACCCUUCAAAUAGGUAAUUCUUCCGUUCUCCCAAACUGACAGGCUUCACUUUUUCUUCAUCUUUUGAAGCAGUUGAUGAAUUAUCAACUGUCAUAUUAUGCUCUUCGACAGUAGCUGUGACAUCCACCUGAAAGCCAGAAUUGUCAAUGCUAAGUAGAGAUAUACAAUAGAUUUUCCACCUGUUGCAAUAGAUAAGUCUUAUGUUGCAUUAGAUGGAUUAUCUGUUGGGAUAAAUUCAAACAGGUAAAUGAGAGCAGUAUGAUUAUUUUGAAUAGAUGACCCAUCUGUUGCAAUAUAAGACUCAUCUGUUGAAACAGAUAACGAAUCUGAUGCAACAGGUUAGACAACAGUUGCAACAGAUUUGAUAAUUUUCAGUAGAUAUAUCAUCUGUUAAAAUAGAUAUGUACUUGUUUGUUUUUUGGAACAGAUGAUGUAUAUUUACCUUCUUCAGCUCAUGCUGCUCUUCUGUGGACCUUGCACACUGAACAUCGGUGCAAGAAAAAGAAAGAGGCAUUGCAAUUUUACUUUUUUUUAUGAUUGAUGAUGCCUUGGAGGUGUCUUUCCUUCCUCUUAGCCGCCUUGAUCUCUGGUGGAGUGUCUGGAUAUAAAAUCCUCUUUGAUGGAAUGACACCCCUCUUAGAUGUCAUUUCCUUUACAGAGGCAUUUAGUGCAUUAAUAGAACUAAUCACUCCAUCGUGUUUCGCCUUGCAGUCUUGAUAUUUGCAUGAAGAAUAUUCGCUAGAUGCGGCAAAAUCUGGAGAAAAAUCUGUACAACCAUUAUGAUCAUAAUCAUAAUGGAUUGUUGUUUCAAAAACUGUAAGAGGAGUAUCAUUAGCCCCACCCUUCAAAAUUAUUUUUCUUGUGAUGGUUGUUGCUCCAAACAAUUCUAUUUUUAUUCCAUCAAUGAACUUAGGGUCCGAUAAAGUUUGCACAGACCGUAAAGUAAGAAAAAAAUGGCAUCUUCAACUCUCGGUUGGUCGGAACAAGCCACCGAUGGACAAUCUAAAAUAAAUCGGUACAUAUAUUAAGAAUGAUGAUGAAAUCAUUUAAUCAUUAAUUAAAACAAAAACUUGAUUAGAAUUGGACUUACUGCUUCCUUGGGGGGAUUGAAAAGAUCAAGAAAUUUUGCAUUUUUAUCGGUUUUGGCCGAUAAUCAUCUCAGAAUUCUUGGAAAGAAAACUUCUUCCUGGUAGUUCACUUGUUGUCUCAAAUAAGGAAUGGCUUUAAAUGCCCAAGCCUAUAACAUAACACUAAUAAAUCAAAAGCAUUAUUGAAUAAAAAAAUGAUGAAUCAUAUCAUGAUAAAAGAAAUAUUUACCAUGAAGGCCCAUGGAAAAUCAUAUAAGUUGACUGUUUUUGGCGUUAACGGAGUCAACAAAUAUUCGAUAGUCAUUUUAAAGCUUUCAUAACCUCAAGGAUAGCUGUUAAAUGCCUCAAGAUCCUCGGAGAGAUUUAUUAAAUCGAGGCUUAUGUUGUUGUUAACGUCUCUCGCCCAAAAAACAUUAUGUAUAAACCAAACCAAGCACAAUAAUUGCUUGUGCUUCUUUGAAAGUUCUUUACCUUUCAACGCUUCAAUCAGAUUUUUGUUUUUGAAGCUUGGACCAACAAUGGACACCAGGUCAUCACGAUCACUCGAAUUGCCUAUUCCUUUUUUGGGUGUGCGGGGUACUUUUUUUUUGGUCAGAGUAGGUAUAUCUUGAGAAGGAGAAAGAGGAUAACAUUUUAGUCCGGUAACUAUGACAAACUCCUCCCAACUAAAACAAACAAGCAUGCCACAAUAAUUUAUCCACACCUCAUCCAUCUUAUCUUUGUUUUCAUACAUAAACCAGCGCUUGAGAAAAUCAUAUACCAUUUUCAUCUGGAAACGAGCAUUGUUGUCCUCCGGCAAAUUAAGAUAUUACCCAAAGAAGCUUUUCCUAAAAUAAGAAUCCAAUUUUUAUUCUUGAAGUAUUUUUCUGAAGGCGUCGAAAGAUUUUCUCAUGACUGACUUAACCACGAGAUCACCUGUUAAAUCUGUGGCACCAUCGCACUGUAUUCUUACAGGAUAACGAUCAAUGCUGAAGGUUUUGACCAAAUCUUCGACGGAAGGGCUAUUGGCAUUUGGAUCAUCUCUUUUGAAAUAUUCCUCCUCCCCGUGUUCAUUAUCUUCUGCUCCUGAUUGAGAUAAAGCUUGUAAAGGAAGCUCAUAGCAUAGUGGAUGUAGCUGAGCUGUGGUACUUGUUCCUUUACUUGAACUUGAUUCGAUUUUUUUUCUUUUGGAAGCCAUGUUAUAUUAAUUUAACAGGAACGUAACAUAGAUUAUAAUUGAUUAAUGCAUAACAGUAAUAUAAUAGUUCCAACAGACAACUAAUCUGUUGCACUAGAUAUGUUAUCUGUUGUAAUAUAUAACCGAACUAUUGCAACGGAUGAGUAAUCUGUGGGAACCAUAAAAACAACACUAUCUAUUGCACCUUGUAUUUUAUCUGAUGUAACACAUAACUGACCCGUUGUAACGGAUGAGUAAUUCAUUGGAAACCAUAAAAACAGAUCACUAAACUGUUGCACCAGGUAUUUUAUCUGUUGCAACAUAUAAUCGACCUGCUGCAACGGAUGAGUAAACCGUUAGAAAGAAUAAAAAUGGAUCACUAAUCUAUUACACCAGAUACGCUAUCUGUUGCAAUAGAUAACCGACCUAUUGCAACAGAUGAGUAAAUUGUUAGAAAGAAUAAAAACAGUCCUAAUCUAUUAUAAAAUAAAGAGUAAACCGUUGGAAAGAAUAAAAACAGAUCACUAAUCAGUUAUCUGUUGGAUCAAUAUUGUUUAGAUUUCUUCCAAACAGAAGAGUCGUCUGUCGUAACAGAUGAAUGAUUUGUUAGAUUGUUCACCUGUUGUAUCAGAUUUUCAUAGUUGCAUCAGAUUUUUUUAUCUAUUGUAUCAGAUUUUCAUCUGUUGCAUCAUAUGUUUCAUCUAUUACAUCAGAUGUUUUAACUGUUGCAAUACCAUUUCUACCAAGACAAACAUCAAAUCAACCUAGCAACACCAAUAUGUCAUACACACACGCACACUAAGAACAUCAACUGUGAUAAAAAAUCACCAAAAAAUUUGAAUCAACAUUAUGAAAAUGAGAAGAAGAAAUGCCAAAAAUUAGGGUUUUUUUCAGUCCACAUUUCAAUACCAGAGGAGUAGUUGGCUCAAGUUCCUCUGUUUCUUUAUAAUUUUUUACCUGUGAAAAAGGAAAUGGGAGGACGAAGAACUCAAAGUUGUUGUCGCCGGAGAAGUAUUCACGUCGAUUGACGGUUGAAAGUCAAAAAGGAACUCGCCCGACUAUUUAUCGCCGGAGUUUGAAGGGAGAAAUUUUGUAGAACUGUUCGUUGGGAGAGAGUUGAGAGAAGCUGGAGAGAUAGAGUAGUUGAUUUGAAUUGAAGAGGGGUGUGGGUUGGGUUGAUUUGUAUUUUUAAAAAGAUUAGAAAGUUUUGAAAAUAUUAAUCAAGUCCACAAUUGACUUAAUCAAGUUUCCUAAUGAUGUUUGACCCUAUCUGUUGGUCAACGUCACCAAUCCUUCAUUCAAGACUUAAAAGACACCUUUCCUUCAAUUUUCUCGACUUACUUACAUAAUAACUUAUAUCAUGUUUUUCAACAUAGUGUACUUAGUAAAAAAAAAAAUUAGAUCAAAGGAAAUUAAUAAAUAAUUGUCAAAUGUCAAUGAGACUUAUUUAAACUUAAAUUAAUGAUCAAACAGUGAAUAAUUUAUUGAGAAAAGUAAAACGCAAGAAUAAAUGUACCACAUAAAUUUCAAAAGGAAAACGAUUCACAAAAUGAUUAAAGCAAAUAGGAAAAUUGGUGAAGAUAUAAUUAAUAAACAAACUAAUAAGAGAACGUAUUGAAGACAUUUACUUCUUAAGCCUCUAUAUUUAAGAAAAGAGGGAAACAUGAUAUUGCUACUAAGGUGUAACUCGAUCGACAAAUUAUCCUCAACAAAACUAUACUUGUGAGAACUUUUAUUGUGAACUUCACCCUCUUUGAGUUAUCCCAUUGCUUCGUUAUAAAAAAAAAAGGAUUUCUUUAUUUACUUAUAACUUUGUUGCAAUGCUCAUAUUAUUUUCGUUCUUGUUUGGCUUUUUAAUCAUAGGAAGAGAGAAGCAAGAUAAAAAAAAGUUACCCUAGGUGUAUGUACGGAGAGGACCCAUAUAGGUAGUAUUCAUCACUUGAGCUUUUCGGUGUAUGAGGUGAUUAGCUUGAAGCAACAACGUUUAGUAUCAAUAAAAUUAAGUAAAUGAUAAGAUACUCCAUAAAAAUUAGAAAGAUCCAAUAUCAUGAGCAAGACAAUGCAAGAUACAAUUGUUUUACAUGUUGUAAAGAAAAAAGUUUACAACAUGAAAGCUAAAUGGAUUUUACAAACCCUCUUUAUCACCGCCUCAUCUUAAAGUAAUGACUAUACUGAUGCAUAAACCUUUAAACUCCAAGCAUGUAUAUUAAUUUUGAAGAAUUUUCACAAUCUAUUUUAUAUUUUGUUUGAGUUGAGAAUCAAAAAUGAAAAUGUAAUAUUUCUUAACGGGUUAGCCUUAUAGGAGGAUUAAGUAAAUCACACUUAACAUGGAUAAAUGACUAACUCCAAAAUGGUUCAACUUAAUUUGACAAAGCGAGUUCCUUAGAUGAGGAAAAAGGUACUGAUAUUCGCUCCAUUUCAGAGAAGAGAUCGAUUGAUUAGCAUUCGAGCGACAUGAGGCAAUUGAAUUCCCAUUAUUGCAGAAGGAGAGUUCUGUAUUAAAAGUUUAAGUAGAAAAGUAUAUAGUUUUCAUUGCCUGGUGAGAACUUAUAGAGAAUAGACGCCGCAUUGUACUAUGGUUUAUGACCACCCAUGUGGCGCUAUGAUCGGCAUUGCAGAGACAAUUAUCUGCUAUUAUAUACAUUAAACAUCGAUCGGAGGAAUUAAAAAAAUUUAAAUUCUGCAAUUAAUCACUAAAAAUAAGACUAAUAGGAAAAGAAAAAACAUUUGUAGAUUAUUAUUGAGGUUCUUAGACAGAGGCUAAUAGCUGAAAUCAAAGCAGCACAAUCAUGUGAUAUCAGUUUAGACAAAUUCAUGCAACGAAAAGAAAAGGCGAAUUCAAUUCUUCUAGAAGUUAACCGAUCAGAUCUUGUUCCUAAAGAUUAGGCAAAGUACAUGGCUGGUAUACUGCAUAUUCCACAAUUAAAUUCCUGAACGUUCAAGUUUGCUCUGGCCCAUAUAUGCUUCAAACUUGAACAGAAUCUUUCUUAGUUAUCUGCACUGACUAACGUUUGUAUCACACAUAACUAAAGUGUCACGAAUUACAUAAUAUGUGUGAAAUCCUUACAAAGUUAUGAUGCGUAAUUUCCAGCUUAUCAUUACACUUCAGUCCGAUCACUACCAACACUAAAUGAUUUUUAUACCCUGUAUCAAGACAUUAAAGAUUUGUAACCUUGCUCAGUGUCCUUAAAUUCGAUCAUAGGACUUAUAUAUUCUGAACUAUGAAAUGAAGCUGCAAACGUACGUCAAUUACAGAUAAUUAAUAAUAUGCCACUAUCAGGACAAACAAUGAGAACGACAAACAAAAAGAAGAAGAAUGAACAAAAGGAAAAAAUUUCACCUAAAUUCAAUGCUACUCAGAUAGAUUCUAGAUUUUAGUAAAAAACAACACAACAUUAUGGUUGCAUCAAUAGAAUAAAUUCGACAACAAUGACCGCAGUGAAAGCAACGCAAUGAACAGACGAAAUAUUAUAGCAUCUAGUAUGCCAAACAAUGUCUGCCUCAAUAAGCAAUGCAUCCCUAUGACAAUACAAUUAAUAUUCAGCAAAUUCUAAACUCUUCUUGUUGUGCUUCGAAGCAUACCUGUCGUAUCUCAAAAAAAUUAGAUUCAUCCCUUCAGGUGGAAACCUCUUCUUUUUAAAAAAAUUGUGACACGGCUCUUCUAGUGGAAUUGCAACAUAGAUUCAAAUUGAAAACCUGUCAAAUUCAAUUUCGAUUCAACUGAAGCAACUAAGUUAUCAAAAACUCUUGUCAACUCAGUUUUUGGCACAGUUCGAAGCACAAAUGUUCCAUCAAAGACAGUUUCUGGAAAGAUAUUGACAAAAUUAUUAUCUAGAGUUGUCCUAAAAUCAUCCAAAUCGCCAAAAAAGGCUCAAUCUUUAAUUGAUUCUGCAGAAGAUUCAGCGAACGAAAGCGCGAAGAAAGCUACUAUAGAAGUUAACAGAUCAAAACCAAGAAACAAAAGUUUGUGUUUCCAAGAAAAUAGAGUUGGUGUUGCUGCUCCUGAGAGAUUGCCCGUUGUGGCGAAGCCUCGACUUUCUGGUAGCAUUACACCUUUUCACAGUGUUGAGAAAUGCAGCAAAUGCAGAUUUGAUAGGUUGGAUACAUCAAGUUAUUGGCUUUCUCAGAUUAAAUUAGCUGAAACUGUUGGAAAACAUAUCGCAGUUAUCAAAUUAUGCCUCUUGUAUGGUUCAUAACAAAAGUCACAUAAUCAUUAGUUAGAUACGUAAAUAGAGUAAUAAAAUGUCCAUGACUUUGCUGGAGAUACUGAUGUCAAGAUGAACUUUCUUCAGCAAAUAGAAGAUGUAAAUGUUGUAUGCAGAGUUAUGCCUCUUUGAUGCUUCAGAACAAAACCCACAUAAUCAUUCAUUGGAUAGAUAAAUUUUAAUUUCGUUUGGAUUACUAAUAAACUGACAUAUGAAGAAGAAGAAUAGUUGUUCAUAAUACCGUCUGUAAAUUUAUACAUACAUAAAGAAAAAUUAUACUCAUGUAAAUCAAAAUUAACCAAAUGAAAUACACAGUAAUAGAGAGCGCCUCACCCGAAGUACUAAUAUUGACAGAAGGCGAAUUGGCCAGGCAUAUGAACAGAUUGCCCAUUUCUUCCCAAUUUCUAUUCCCCACAAAAUUCAAUUCUGCUUUGCUACAAAAAUAUAUGAAAUUGGACCAUAAAAUUUUUUUUUUUAAAAAAAAACUAAUAAAUUUCUGGAGAACCACAUCGAAUUUGUGGAAAAAAAACCACCUUUUGGGAAAUCAAUGGAGAGUUUUGCUUUGUCUAUGAGUGGAAGAGAGGUUUUCACCGGUUGUAAAUGCAGGAAAGUUUCAAAUGACAGUUUUCUCUUUACAACUGAACACUUAAUUUCACAAUAAUUAUUUAUUAUUUUUAAUUAUCUUUAUUUAUUUAAUAAUAAUUUUUGUGGUGCUGACGCAUGACAGUUUUUGCCUCUCUUAUUAGAUAUAGAUGGAUAGAUUUUUCUUUUACUUUUACAAGAAGAGAAAGCUUCAACUUCCUAGUAAUCCGAAGAAUAAAAGUCUAUAAUAAGAGUUUCAUUAUGUUUAUCAUAGUAUCCUAAUACACCAUUUGAUCUAACCUUCCAUACACAUGUAAACGUUUUAAUCAAAUAUAUUCCGUCUGAUCUAAGACAAGCUCCUGGGUGGUCAAACACCACAAAAGCGCGAUCUUUUGUACCCCACCAAAAAUAAAGUACGAUUGUAAAAAUCUUCGCAAAACGACCAAGAGAAGUCUUGAUUACGAGAUAGAAAAUGAUAUCCGAUGUCAUUAUCUUUAGAAGUACAAUGAACUUUCAGCUGAGGCCAAUCAUAAGGAAGUCAAUCAAUGAUUUUAACAUGAAACUUCUUAACUAUAAAACAAUUUGCUGCUAUAAAGUUGUCAAGGGGAAAGACAAAUAACAACGUGAAUAAAAUAAGUAUAAACAACAUAAAUCCCCUAGCUUAAUAAAGUAAUUACACAAAAUCUCCUCUUAUUUUCUCUCUCCCGAAUUUUGGCAAAUAUACUCAUACAAUCGUCAACACAUUAUACAUUGGUGGAAUGUAUAAUGAAAAUGUUAUUCUUAAAUUUAAAGAAAUUGAUAUCCUUAAUUAUAUCAUUGUUCCUUAAUUAACGAAAAUAAUUAGAUAUUUUUAACGCAGAUAUGGAUAAAACUAGUAACUGAAAUUUGAAUUUCAAAAAAAAAAUUAUACAAGUCAAAUUUUAUUUUCUAAUUUAUUUGAUGGAAGAUCUGGAAACGAAAAAAGUUCUAUUGCUGCAAAAAAAUUCUUCAAAAAAAAUCCCAUAAAGCAACAAAAUACUUCUACAUACGUUCUUCAAAAAUUCAAAAAGCAUAAUGAAUAUCCCAAUAUUGCUGCGGCAUUCUAGAAUUUGGAAGUCAGACUCUAGUUAUAAGUCAUACAAAAGUGACGCAAUAAUUGUUUCGGAAAGUAUUACUUUCUUGGAAUUGAUUUCUACUAUCGCCAUGGAGUUGGAUAUAGACGAAGUGGGUAAAAAAAAUAAAGUGAAAUAUGUGGUUGAAGGAAACUCUUCUCCAAUUGUAAUAAGAAAUGAUAAUGGAGUGAGGGUUUACGUUGAGUUAAAGAAAUAAUUUGUUGGUUUGGUUAAUUUUUCGCUUUGUAUUUCAAGUUGCGAUAAAGCCAAUAGUGAAAUAGCAUUUGAUACAGCCACUGGUUCUGUAAUGAGUAUCGAGGGUAGUGACUAUGAUUCAGUUAUGUUAACAGUUAUUGAAACGGAUAUCAAUAUGCUCUAUAUGUGCCUGAAAUGAAAGUUAAAAACUUCAUUACUGAUUGCAAGAAUACUAAAAUAAUGGUGAGUCAGAUAUACAAGGAUAAGAAAACUCUUGUUUCAGUAAUGUCAAGACACGCAAUAGCGAAUAGAUUCAACACAAAAGCGAAACGAUCCGACAAAAAAAGGUAUGAUAUCAUUUGUAUCUCCCGAUGUUAUAACAUAUUGAUUUUUUUAUGUUAAGAAAUUUAUGUUGUGUAUUUUUUUGAACUGUUGAUAUAUAAUGCUAUCAUACGAAUGUAUAAUGUGAUUUGUUAUGUAUUGGUUAAUGUAUAAUUAAAUUGUGCCAGGUGAAGAAAUAUAUGAUGCAUUGGUUUAAUAGAUUGUGAACUCGUUUGUCUGUUAUUACUGAUUUUUUAAUUAAAAAUUUUGAAUGUAUAAUUAAAAUUAUACAUUCAGAGAUAUGUAUAAUAUAACUGUGGUAUUGAAAGUUAUUGUUUUUUUGUUAUUAAUAUGUUAUGUUUUAAUAUUUCUGUUUUAUACAUUGAUUAAGUUUUUAUGAGUUGUUACAGAUAUGUACUGAUAACAUGAAUACAUACUUUAUGAAAUUUAAUUCUUUGAUUAAUGUGUUGUAUUAUUUAUUUUUUGUUAUUUAAAAAAUGAAUGUAUAAUUUAUAUUAUACAUUCAGAGAUAUGUACUCAUUUGUCGUAACGAAGAUUGCCAGUGGGUCAUGAAGGCCUCUUGUAUGAAUGAAUCGGAAUUGUUUGUGAUUAAAACAUUUGUUUCGGAGCAUAGUUUCAGUCUUAGGGACAGAGUGCUGAAUAAUGUGGUUCGACAAGUAAUUUUGUGAGUGAAUUUACUGCUCCAAAAUUAAUCAAUCACAAAAGAAUACACACCCCCGCGGACAUUAUCGAAGAGAUGAAAGUUGUUUAUGGAGUCGACAUUAACUACAUGAAAGCAUGGCGCGCUAAAGAGAAGGAGAUUGUGAUGCUUUGAGGUGAACCAGCAGAUGGAUAUAGAAAAAUGUCCCGUUAUAUAUAUAUGUUGAACCAAGUGUAUCCCCAAUCGCAUAUUCGGAUGCAUAAGGCAGUAGAUAACGAGUUUAAAUACUUGUUUAUUGCAUUGUGUCCGAUGAUUUGGGGUUUUGAAUUUUGUAGACCUAUUGUUGUUGUUGACGGGGCACAUUUAAGUGGUCCAUAUGAAGGAACAUUUGUAUCGGCAAGCACAUUAGAUGGUGCAGGUAUUGUGCGUUUAAUUUUUUUUUUGUAUUGUACUUUUUUUUGUUUUGUUAUUACUAUAUAUUAUUUUAUCUUAUACAUUGUUAAAUUUUUGUGCAGGUAAAUUCUUGUGUAGGUAAAUUUUUGUUGUUUACUAUAUAUUUAAUUUAAAUGAUUGACUUUUUUAAUUUAUAUAUAGGUUGUAUUCUGCCAUUAGCUUACGGUGUUGUUGAUUCGGAGAAUGAAAAUGCAUGAAUUUAGUUUUUUCAAAAGUUUAGAGAGGCAUUUGGUGAAAGACACAACAUGUGUGUUGUUUCAGACAGAAAUGAAAGUAUCAUAAAAGGUGUAAGCAUUGUUUAUCCUAAUGUCCCUCAUCUAGCAUGUAUAUGGCAUUUAUGGAAAAACGUUUCCACCCAUUUUAGGAAAAGCAAAGAUAGACUUAGUGACUUUUAUUAUUCCAUGGAUAAAUCUUAUAAAAAAGAAGAUUUUGAAUAUAUUAUGUCAAAGGUUGCUAAGGUUGAUCAAAGAGUUAAGGAAUAUCUGGAGAAAGCUGGGUAUGAAAAAUGGGCUAGGUGUCACUCACCAGUAAAUAGAGGUAGAAUGAUGACUUCAAAUAUAGCCGAAUGUAUUAAUGGUUGUUUGGUUGAGGCUAGAAAACUUCCUAUUCUAGGUUUCCUAUACGAAGUUAGAAUCUUAUUUGCUGCAUGGAAUUGUAAGAACAACGAAAUUGCAUCGUAUACAAAUACAACUCUUGGCAGAAGAUUUGAAGAAAUUCUAACUUAUAAUGGUGUUAAAGCUUUACGGAUGACGGUAUGUGUUAAAAUAAUUAUGGAACAUGUUAUGCCUUUUGGUAACAGGUUAAACCAACAGGGAGUUAUCUUUAUUGUGUUUAUGAUUCGGGACGGAGGUACAUUGUAGAUAUUGAGCGUGGCAAGUGCAAUUGUGGUCGAUAUCAAAUUGAUGAAAUACCUUGUCCACAUGGAAUUGCCGUAUUAAAAAGUAAAAAUGUAGAUGUAAAGGAUUAUGGUCGUUAUUGCGCUGAAUUGUACAGGACACAAACCAUAGUGAAGACAUAUGAACUCCCGAUAGUUCCAAUGCCAGACAAGAAGGACUGGAAUGUUCCAUGUUUUGUUGAUGAUGAAGAAGUUUUGCCACCCAAAUAUCGAAGACCUCCUGGAAGGCCAAAAAAAGGAAGGCAUCUAAAAUCUAGUGAAUCAUUGUCUUAAAAUUCAAACCGCUGCGGUAAAUGCGGAAGAUCCGGUCACAAUCGUAGGACUUGUGGUUUCUUUCCAAAGGAAUCAUGAUGAAGAUAAUAUUUUUUUCUACAUGUUAAUGGUUUGUUUGUUUUUAGUAGUAUAAUUAGUUUAAUUAGAUUUCUUUGGAAUGCUGGAACAAUUAAUUUUAAGUUUUUUGGCUGCUAUUUGAGUUUCACUUGUUCAUUUAAUAUUUAAUAGUAUUUGAACAGAUUGUGUAAUUUUUUGUUUAUCAUAUUUCAUAACCAUAUCACUGUAAUUUCUAACUGAUUGGUAUAUGUGUUAUGUUGACCGGCAAAUAUAACAUUCGCUUAAAAAAUAGUUGAAACAUAAUCUGUAUGAACUGUUAUACGUUAGUAUUUACUGAUUAAGAAAUGUAUGAUUUAGCAUUAUACGUUGUGUCGGUGUAUUAUCUUUCACAGGAAAAAAUGUCAUUCUAUUCAAUAUUAAUUGUUACACGUUAUACAUUUAUAUAAAGAAUGAAUUUGUUCAUUUAAGAAUGUAUAAAUUAGAUUACACAUUUGUAUCAUUGUAUGAAAUUGUGUAAUAAUUUAUAAAAGUGAUUCUGGUAAACUAUGUUUGAAAAUUUUGUUUAAGAAAAUAUAAAGUGUGACAACAGGAUACUAUAUGUAAUGUGUAACAUAUAUUUAACGUAUUAAUAAUUAGUGUAAUGUAGUUUUACCUGAAAAGAAAAUUUACGUUACAGUAAAAAUAUUAUGUGUUCAAAUGCAAUGGCAAUAUAUUUUUAUUUUUUAUUGUACACAUCGUAAAAAAAGAAUAUAAGGCAAACUCAAUUUCGACUAAGAAAAACUUUGUAUCAUAACAGUAUUGUGUAAGAAACUGCUAAUCAAUUGUUUCAAAAAAAGAAGAAGAGAUACAUAAAAUGUUCAUUAACCAUAAGAAAGUAUUACUGAAAAUGUGUAACAUUAAACACCAAAAAUAAGAAAUAGUUCUAUCAAUGCCAACAAUCAGAAAACAUUGCUACUCUAAAGUAACAAUUGUUUUUGCUUCAAUUUCUUCGAUAACACUUUUCCUUGGUCGAAGCGGAUCUCCAUUAUCACUCGUGUACCCUUUAUUUACCUUUUUCAAUCCGUAAUGCCACAGUAAGGAAGCAUAGCGUGCACGUUGACAUGCAAAAUCAAACCCACAUGAAUAAACUUGUAGUCCUUCGCUUAAUAUUUCUGCAUAGACACACACAAAUACGCCACAGUCCCUAAAUUUAAAUAAUAAUAAUAAUAAUAAUAAUAAUCAGUAAAUCAAUUCUACCAUUAUUAUAAAUGAAAAAUAAACUGUAAUUUACUUACAAACUAUCAGACGCUUGUUGUGGGAUAUUUUGCACAUAGUCAACAUCAAAUGGUAUUUCAUUUACAAGACCAGUUUGUUGAGUAAUCUUCCCAUUGUAAGCUUCAAGUGAUGGCCAGUCAGUUCGCUCGGUCUUAUCAUAAAAGUCAUUGUCUGACAAGUAAGUUGGAAGCGUAACUGCAAGCUUUUGUAUUUCAAUUGGAGGUUCUUUUUUCCUUUUACUUGAAAGUGAGUCAUACACACGUAUUAAUCUUCCUUCAAAACAAUCACCGUCAAUACCCAAUGAAAUUCUUUACCACAGUUAAUUAGAACAUAUAUCUCAUCAACCAUAUACCAUGGUAAUCCAGCAGGCAUACAGAAUCCCUGAAUUAUAUCAGCAAUAGCAUCUUAAUUCUUAGGCACCACAAUUGAUUCUGUAUAGUCUUAUUGUGUGGAUAGGUCAACUGCCGAUUCCGCUGGAUAAUAGCGAGUAUGUGUCUUCUCAACAUAUGUUUUAAAGAAGCAGCUUAUCGUUGUAUAUCUAUAAUUAUCACCCAACUGAAUCUUUGAUUUCUUUCUCAAGUAACAGAAGAUCACAUCUAAAUGCUACAAGUGAAAGCAGGGUAAAAUAGUAAAAACGAAUCAAAGAAAUCAGUAGCUUCGACCUUAAUUGUUUAGUAGAUGUAUGAUGUACAGCUAUUAUACAUGACAUGUUGGUUAAAGUUGAAGAAAUGAUAAUGAAAAAUACUGCAUGUAUGAUAUGUUAUCAUACACUGGUUAACAUGUAUAAUAUGUUAUUAUACAUAUGUUUUAAUGUAUGCUAUUGUUGAAUAUUAAGUAUCAGCAAAAGAACUUAUGAUAUGGAUAAUAGUUAGAAUAAGUUACCUCAUCGUUCCAGCAUGUCUUGCGUUCGGACAUUAAGUAAAACCAAUUUUUUGAUUGUGGGUAUGCAACGACAAAGUCCAAUUGUCUAAAACCUAACCCAGAAGCAUUAACUCGAUAGUGGUUGUCCGUCUCUUUCCUGUAAAAUAAUCAUUGAUUACACAUGACAGUAACUGUUUAGAUUAAGAUGGCAAAGUAUUGUUAGGCAAAAAUAUAAUACCAAAUUUCUUACUUGGCAGAAUGAGUUUUCAGCAAUCCUACGACAAUCCACUGGGAGUAAUCAAUCAUCAAUUCAUUAGGCAAAUAUUGGUUGAUGUUGUACCCAUCAAAAGCAUACUUUAGCUUCUCCUCUUUAUCGAUAUCAACCGCAUCCUUGGAGCCAGAACCAUACUUUGAAAUGUAUGGUGACCUUAAAACCCUGGACUUCUUUCUUUCUUGUUUGGCAGGUGCUUUUUCUUUUGACGCUUGAAGCUCCCAGUCAGGUGAAAUCUGACUGACUGGAAAGUCCCAGUGUCUUUCGGUCAUUUUAUUUAAAGCACCAACAUCCAAUGACUUUGUAGUCAAAGGUGUUGACAGACCAAAUAAAAUUGUAUCUAUAGCUAAUUGUAUUGAAUCAGUUAUUGUCCCACCAACUUCAUCCUACGUGAACACAUAAAGAUUUGUAAUGUAUACAUAUAAUAUCUGAAUGUGUAAAUAUAAUAAUGGUUACAACAUUUAUGUUAGAAAUCAUGACAACAUCAAUAUCAGGAAAAACUUGAUAUGCAGUAGAGAAAAAAAUCAAUACAUUCCAGUUGGUUCAAAUUCACAGAAAAAUUUGAUAUGCACCAGAGAAUUAACAUUAAGUCCCAAUACAUACUUUUACAAGGUCGAACACGUAGAACGAUAUUUUUGUGUAAAAAAAGAAGUGUUAAGCAAAAAAAAAUACCUGAACAUCUGUCACAUCAGUAGAUUUCUGAUUUUUCAAAUUCACUUCAGUAACAUCUUCUUUAGCGGUUAGAUUCACAUCCUAAAUUAAAUAACAAUUAUCGUGUAUUAACAUUUAUUUAAAGUAUAAUGUAAAAUUUUUUGAUGAGGUUUAACACCCGUGAUAAGAAAUUUCUAUAUGUAAUGGGUGCAUUUGAAUAUAUAAAUAUAUCAGUAGUAACAAACGAUGUAAUAUUUGAUGCACAAACGAUUUUAUGGCAAUAAAAACAUAAAUAUGUAUGAUGUUAAUCAUGAACUACAACCUUUAUGUUAAUGAAAAAGUUUGUACGUUGGAUGUAUGACUGUUCUUGAUACAUUCAAUUGAAUGUUUUAUGUACAUUUAAUUGUCCUAAUAAGAAGAAUUUAGAAGAAACUGCAUGUGUAUAGAAACUUAUAGUAGUAAUAAAACGAUAUUAGGGACAUAAGAAUACCGGCAAAUCUUAUCUGGAAUGUUUUUUUUUCUAACUCUUCAUCGCUACAUUCUUCUUCAUAUGCCAUAAUCUCAUCCUAUUAUUUAUGUGUUAAUUAUCAUUAUCCAAGUUGCAUGUAGAUAAAAAUUUGUAUUUAUUAAGACAGCUGUUAAACAAUGUGCAAAAUAUUGAAAGCGUCUACAUCACUAAACUGUUAGUCAUGUAUGAUGGAUAUUUAUAUAUUGACAUAAUUAGAUAACAGUUACUAAUUGUAUGAUGUUCAUUUAUACUUUCAUAAAUAUAAAUCAAACCAGCAUUAAACAAUUGUUAGUUAUGAAUGAGGGUAAAUUUAUAACUGUGUAAGGAUAUUAUCUACACUACAUUAACAAAUGUAUAAGGUUAACUUAUACAUCUGAAAUUUAAUAUAAUAUGUUAAACAGUUGUGAUGGUUAGUUAUUAAACAACGGUUAGUCAUGUAUGAUGGUUGUUUAAAUGUAUAACUAUUGAUACCUCCAAAGCUUGCAAAUCAGAACAGUCCUCCUUU
rnacentral:lncRNA from 1 species